rnacentral:lncRNA from 1 species
UCCUCACCAAACUUGGUGACCUGCUCGCCGGUGAGUUCACCUUGGAGAAGUGCGUGAGGGAAGGCAUGGAGUCUCUUGUCACGGAGCUAACCUUGAUGCACGCCGCCCUCCGCAAGGUGGCAAAAGUCCCGCCAGAGCAGCUCGAUGAGGGGGUCAAGAUAUGGGCAGCAAAGGUUAAGGAGUUGUCCUAUCAAAUGGAGGACAUCCUUGAUGCUGUGAUACUGCGUGUGGAGGAUGACGGUGAGCCUGCCAACCAGAGUAAACUGAAGAAGUUAAUCAAGAAUAUCAUCAAGAUAUUCAAGAAUGGGAGGGGUCUCCAUCGAAUCUCCGAUUCUCUAGAAGAAGUGAUGGGUCAAGCUAAGCAGUUGGCUGAGCAGCGUAAAAGAUAUGAGCAAGAGAUGCAUGCCACAAGCGUUGGUGUCAGCGUUGACCCCCGUGUGUUGGCUCUGUACACAGAUGUGACAGAGCUCGUUGGGAUCGAAGAUGCACGGGAUGAAUUGAUCAACAUGUUAAUUGGGGGUGAUGGUUGGUUAAAGAGUCAACUGAAGACGGUAUCUGUUGUUGGAUUUGGUGGGCUGGGCAAGACGACUCUUGCAAAAGUAGUGUAUGACCAGAUCAAAGUACAAUUUGAUUGUGGUGCCUUUGUUUCGGUUUCUCAGAAUCCAGACAUGAAGAAAGUCUUCAAGGAUAUUCUCUAUGAGUUAGACAAGAAGAAGUAUUCAAGCAUCCAUAGUGCAACAAGGGAUGAAAAGCAGCUCAUUGAUGAACUCAAUGAAUUUCUGAAGAGCAAGAAAGAAUUUCUUAAGAGCAAUAAUGAAUUCCUUAGCAAUAAGAGGUAUGUUAGCUAUUUUUUUCCUGCCAACAUCAAUUCUCUGUUGCGUAAUAAAUCAUGGUAUUAUUUUUUGUGUUGUGUAUAAACAUCUUCAUAGCACAUUGUUAGUCACCCACUAGGUUUAUAAUCUUCAUACAAAUUCAUGAAAUUUUCUCCAGUGCAUUUUUGCUUAGAUAACCCAUCAUUUAAUAAUUCCUUCUCUACCCAAACAAAAUUCUUAGAUAUAUCUGGACCCGAUUUAUCAACUAACUAUCUGACGUAUUUAAAUAGGUACCUCAUCGUAAUUGAUGAUAUAUGGGAUGAAAAAGUGUGGCGUUUUAUCAAGUGUGCUUUCCCCAAGAAUAGUCUUGGAAGUCGAGUAAUCACGACUACUCGCAUUCUUAGUGUCUCUGAAGCAUGUUGCUCUUCUAGCGAUGAUAUUUACAAAAUGAAUUCUCUUUCUGAUGAUAUCUCCAGAAGGCUCUUCUACAAAAGAGUAUUUUCUAACGAGAAGGGGUGCCCUCAUGAACUGUUGCAAGUAUCCCAAGACAUCUUAAAGAAAUGUGGUGGGAUACCAUUAGCCAUAAUUACCAUAGCAAGUCUUCUAGCUAGUAACCGUCAGACAAAAACAAAAGAGCAAUGGCAUGAUUUGCUCAGUUCAAUUGGUCAUGGACUUACAGAAGACCAUAAGGUGGAGGAGAUGAAGAAGAUAAUAUUAUUAAGCUAUUAUGAUUUGCCAUCUCAUCUGAAGCCAUGUUUAUUAUAUCUUAGUAUAUUUCCAGAAAAUUUCAAGAUCUGAAGAGUUGAUUUGAUAUGGAGAUGGAUAGCCGAGGGCUUUGUUCAUAGUGAAAAACAAGAAACUAGCUUAUAUGAGCUAGGAGAUAGUUACUUCAGUGAGCUAAUAAAUAGAAGUAUGAUGCAGCCAAUAGGCAUCGAUGAUGAAGAAAGGGUAGAAGCUUGCAUUGUACAUGACAUGGUACUUGAUCUCAUACGUACCUUGUCCAGUGAAGAAAACUUUGUCAUUAUACUUGAUUGUACUGAGAAAAACUGCCUAACUCGCAAAGCAAGGUUCGCAGAUUAUCCAUCCAAAAUGGCAAGAUGGAUGUUUCUACCACCAGCAUGGCACAAGUGAGAUCCCUUGCUUUCUUCACACAUGGUAUUAUCCAUCCUUGGGUUGUUGCCCACUCUGCGCUCUCUCUCCCUGAUACGCAAUACUAUAUUCUCAGGGGGGCCUGCAGUGGAAAUGUCGAUCGUCACCGCUGAUGCAUUCCCAUGCGCAACGGAGUGCCGCUUCAUUGGCAUUGCGGCAGUGCCAUCUAUAUUUCCACAAGGAGCUAUGCCAAGGGUUAAACUCCUCUGCUUUGGCUUCCCCGCCGUGUGGAUUUCCCUCGGUGACUUUGCUUUCGGCAUGGGACACCUCCCCUCCCUGAAGUAUGUCCAGGUUGAGCUUCUAUGUGAAAAAGCAACUGACGUCGAGCUGGAGGAAGCAGAAGCUGCAGUGAGGGCCGCAGUGGAGGAGCAUCCCAACGGCAUGCACCUUAAUUUGUCCAGUUGGUAAUGUUGCCACAUUGCUAAAGGUACACCUACUCCACCUCCACGCUUCAUGCAUUAUUCACAUUUUUGUGUUCACAAGUGCCAAAUGUUCAUUCAUCAUACUGUAUUUUCAAAUUCAGGGGGAGGAAGAUGCAAAUGCUGCAUGUGAUGAGGUUCGCCAGUCGCCCAUGGGCUACCUCUGUUACACAUACAUUGUUUUUCUUUCACCUACUGUUAUGUAUUCAGUGUUCAUUUCUGUCAUUACUUCCAAUUUCAGGUGGAGGGAUUGAUUCGUCAAACCACGAAAUCUGGUACUCCAUCAGUUAGUAGCACACUAGCACCAAACUACACGGUAUUUAAGCAUUUUUUCCUUUAGCCUGUUUUCUGUAGCUAGCUAGUUCGAUCAGUCCAUCACGACUGUCUAAUUUUUGUUUUGUUUUGUUUUUUCCUGCCACAAGAUUAAGCAUGACGUUUCCUAGAUCAGCAAACAGUUCACUAAUAUAUAUUCCUUUGUCGGUAGUUGGAUGAACUGAGUUCAUUUUUCCUUGUACAGCUGAGCAUAUCUAUGCCCUUCUGUAUAUGCUUGGAUGAACUCUGUUUUUCUUUUGGCCCUACCUUCCUAUUUGAAGUACCAAGAAAUAUCAAGAAUUUCUUCUUGGUUCUGAACUUUUGAUUUCUUGUGGUACGCAAACAAAUAGCACUGCAUGUUUUUACUAUCUAGCACAAGAUAAUGGCAUGAGGAUUAACAAUGUGAAAAUAAUAUGUAUGCCCUUUCUGUGCUUGGAUGAACUCUGUUUUCAUAUGCAGCAUUUAACUGAACCACCUGUUUGAAUGUGCUUCCACAUGGCAUUGUAGGUGGCAGCAACUAACAGAUUUCGUCGUCAUGGAUUCAAUAGAUCGCGCGGCAGCUUCCUACUUCCCAUGUGUCUGCUUCCGUUCCAACCAAGACUGUCAAGAGCAUUGUAUUUCUGUUACCGUUUGAUCAUCUUGUGCAACGAGGUAAAGCUCUCGUGCAUACUGUCCGCUUAUGUCUGAAAUUUCCUUGAGGGCAACUAAAGAACAAUGAGGUUUGUAGGGCAGACCCCAUGCAUUUUUCCCAUGAUGAACCAUUAAUUAUUUUCCUGGUUUGUUUCCACUGAUUUGUUUGUAACAUCAUUCAGACUUCCGGAGUUGUGAAUUGAAAUGUCGCUUUCGGUUUGUACAAGUAUUCUGAAGUUAUACCUUGUACUCCUUCCGUAAAAAAAUAUGAGAGUUAGAUCAUUAGUGAAUGUCAGCAGUGCCAUUUCGAUGUGAAUGCACGGUCUCAUGGCUAGUUAAGACAUACAUAAACCAUUGAGAGCACCAACUAUUUACUCCCCCAUUCUUAAUAAGAUGGAUAUAAAUAAAAUUUGUAUUUUGCAUAGCAUCGGUAAGCAAUUUUGUGCGUUAAUUUAAUUUUUAUAUGAAUACAUUGGCAAAUAUUUAUGGAAAAAUAUAUAUUAAAAAAGCAUUUAAGAUUACUGUUGUUGUAUUCACGAGGUUGGCACCCGUGGUUUUGAAUUUAUCUAUUUUCUGAAAUUAUCCAUUUCAUUGACAUCCCUCCGACCAAACUGAGAGAUGAGCCAAAACAAUUAAUGAUCAUUAAUGAUUGUAUCUCAGUCAUCUUAGAUUCCUAAUCCUUCCAACCCGAGACGUAUGCCACAAGUGGACACGAAAAUUGUCAUACAAGUUACCGACGGCAAUGCUGAUGCGGAGUUUAGAUCAAUCAUCGCUCUUGAAAUUAGUUCAGUUUGAAAAAUAUAAGAAAACUACCCGACGUGCACCCAUUGCAUCUAACAGCUUUGGCAGCAUUUUGAGGUGUAAUUAUUUUGUUUAUAGGUCGGGUCCAGUGGGGGCUAGACUCUGUGAUCCGUUUAAUUCGAGUUGUAGUUUUGCCGACAGCAACGCGUGAUGCCAUGGAUGUAUUGAGCAGGGACCACUAUUUACAUGACUUUACCACAGUUGCAGUAUGAAUGGCUUGGACUCUCGUACGGUGCUUAACAUUAAAACAUCUACAACCAAACCCCUUAAACCCUUCUCAAAUGCAGAGGCAGGUCGUCCGAUCACUGACCGUGUUAAAUGCAACAGGUUGUUACGGCUGGAGAUAGAUAGGCCAAGGCUGUUAGCCGGUUGCUAGCUAGUUUAUUUUCUCUCUGUCUCUUGUAACUGUAUCCCUUAUCUCUUCCUCCCCAAGUCAUGAUCUCGGCAAUGUAUGUGCUACAGGGAGGUGUGCCCCUGCCUAUAAACAUGCACGACAUCCCUCCAACGAGGUAAGACGUUUUCCGCCUAUCGCACAUGAUAAUUAGAGCCUUCCUCUUCCCAACCAUCAUCUAGCUCGCAAACCCCAUUAGUGCUUCACCAUGUCUUCCUCCGGUAAUCCCAUUAGUGCUUCGCCAUGUCUUCCUCCGGUUCCUCCCAGAUCGGUCUCAACGGCCAAAUCACAGAGAAGCUCACCCGCAUCAACUACGUUCUGUGGCGUGCCAAGAUCACGACGCAUCCGCGGGGAGCAGGCAUCUUAGGCUAUGUUGAAGGCAGCACGCCGGAGCCGGCCAAGCUUCUUCCCGUCAAGGACAAGGAUGGGAAGGAGUCCUUUGAGCCCAACCCUCUCCACCCAAUCUAGGUCCGGGAGGAUCAACAAGUGCUCGGGUACCUCCUCAACAAUCUCUCCAAAGAGGUGUUGGUGCAGGUAACCGCGAUCACCACGACGCACACGCUCUAGAUGACCCUAUCACCCAUGUUUUCCUCUCAAUCCUUGAGCCGUGUGAACAACAUUCACACGGCCUUGCUUCACGCGCAGAAGGGAAACUAGUCGAUCGCCGCCUUCUUCUCCCACAUGCAUGGCCUUGCGGACGAACUCGUCGCGGCCGGCAAACCCCUUCAAGACGACGAGAUCGUCUCCUACAUCAUCCACACCCUCGACAUCGAGUAUCAACCUCUGGUGUCGGCCCUUGAUGCCCGCACCACUCCAGUCUCCCUGGAUGAGCUCUUCUCGAUGUUGAGCAACUUCAAUCAGCGCGUUGCUCUCUACCAGGGAUUGGGUGGAUUCAAAUCCUCCGUGAACGCCGCUUCUCGCGGCCACGACGAGCGCCACCACGGACCUUCAUGGAACCACAACAAGCCUGGAGGCCGCUGAUAUGUCCCAAACAUAUCUAUAAUUUAUGCUUGCUCCAUGCUCAUUUGGGUGGCAUUGUUAUAUGUUUUGCUACACUUUUAUAUCAUUUUAUAUAAAUUUGGACUAACCUACUAACUCAGUGCACCCAGUGCCAGUUUCUUUGUGCUGAUGUCUAUUUUGCAGGGGCUUUUAUCCUAUUUUUCGAAGCCCGAAAAAUUCUGAGAAAAAUAUAUAAAAAUCAGCGUACCAGAAGCUUCCAGAUCACCGAAGAUGGACCAGAGGGGGGCUAGGGGCCCCCAGGCGACCUGUGGGCGCGGCCUACCCGCUGGCCGCGCCAAGAGGCCGCCUGGGUGGGUCCCACCUCCUCCUGUGCCCUACUUUGGCCUAUAUUUACUCCUCCGAGAGAAAACCCUUCCAGAGGAUCCAGAAUCGUGAAUUUCUCCAUCGUUCCGCUGCCACAUCUCUUCCGAGAUCGGGGGCGUCGGGAGACCUCUUUUCGGCACCCUGCCGGAGGGAGGAUUGACCUCCGGGAGCUUCUACACCGCCAUGGACGCUUCCCGGACCUGUUGUGAGUAGUCCUCCUUGGACCAUAAGUCCAUGACCAAUAGCUAUGUGAUGUCUUCUCUCCAAUCUUGUGCUUCAAUGGUCCUUAUGAGCUGCCCUACAUGAUCAAGGCAUCUAUGUAAUUCUCUUGCUAUUGCUAUGCUCGGUUUGUUGGGAUCCGAUGGAUUAUGAGAUUAUGUUCAGAUUGUUAUGAGUUAUAUAUUUGAUUAUCCUUUUAUAUUAUGUUCCUUAGUGAUUCAUGCAUGUUCUCCGUUGCUAUUUAUUGUUUUGACCGAGUAGUAGAUUGUAACUCCAAGAGGGAGCGUUAUGCAUGAUUGUGGGUUCAUACCCCUCAAUGUCUAGCUUGAGUGAGAGAAACAUGAGACUAGGGGAUGUGUUGUUGCCACGAGGGAGAAAACAACGGUGCUUGUGACCACGGUUGCAAGUAUUGUUUACCAUACACAUAGUUUGUUAAUGCAGUUGUCUGUUGCUUUGAGUUUACACUUUGGAUGGGGCUCGCAACUUAAUACCGGAGAGAUGUUCUGGAUAGAUAUCUCAACGUGGAUGAUUAGUAAGUAGAUGCUGAUGAAUAAACGAUCUACUUGUCUUGGCGUACUUCCCAUUACUAUUGAACAUCUAACUAUCAAGUAGCAUAAUUAGCAUCGCGGUGCGUUCAUAAUUCUAUCAAUUGCCCAACUGUAAUUUGUUUACCCAAGCAUAGUUGUUUAUCGUCUUUUGGGAGAGAGACAUCACUAGUGAACAUCAUGUGACUCUGGUCCAUAUCACCAUCAUUCUUUACACCUCCAUCAUUUACUGCUUUUAUUUACCUUUCAGUUGCAAUUACUAUUACUUUUCCCGCUUGUGUUUUGAUCCUUUGCAAACUACAAGGCCGGAGAGAUUGACAACCUCUUUGUACUCGUUGGGCGCAAAGUUAUUUGUUGUGUGUGCAGGUUCAUGUAUUCUGCUAGCGCCAGGGUGGGAGACACCUACUUGUUGAGCCUAGGAGCCCUCCUGGUUCGAUAAACCUUACAGUCUCUGAGUAAGGGAAAACUUGCUGCUGACUACAUCUCAACCUUCCACUUUAGGUAACCAACGAGGUGCGAAAAGUAUAUACAUCAUCUCGUCAUCAGCGGUAGGGCAAACUCCAGCAACAACACCCCUCGUGUCGGGCGAUCCUCCUCCACCAUCAACAAGUGUCGCCGCAGCGGUUCCUCCAGGGCACGACAAGAUACCCCGUGCCAAAUAUGCGGCAAGCCUUGGCCACACCUCCAAGGACUGUUGGUACGGCUAUGAUGAAGACGGAGAUUCUUCCCAGGACGAGGACAAGGUGGCUACUGCUGCGGAUGGAUCCUACGGCAUCGACACCAACUGGUAGGUCAAUAGCAACGCCAUCAAACACAUCACCGGCGAACUUGACAAGGUGGCCAUGCAGGAGAAAUACCGCAGCAAAGACCAAAUCCACACUGCUAGUGGUGUAGGUAUGAGAAUUCGUCACAUUGGUCAUACAAUUAUUAAAGACCCCCCCCCCCAAUCACAAACUUCAUCUUUGAAUUUUUUUUGCAUGGUCAUAUAAUUGCCAUUGAUAACCAUGUCUUCCUUGAAUUUCACCCCUUCUUCUUUUUGAUCAAGGAUCAGGCAACGAAGAAAAUUAUCUAUUAAGGUAGAUGCGUUCGAGGGAUCUACCAUUGAUUCCGGAGUGUAGAAGAUUCAAUAAACGAGCCUACGGUGUUGCCAAACUUUCGUCAACACGGUGGCACGAUCGAUUAGGACAUGCUUCUUUUUCUUUAGUUGAAAGAUUGCUUAGGAAAAAUAAGUUCUCAACUAUGUGCAAGAUGUGUCUGAUGUUGCAGAUGAAAAAAGAAAAGAAAAUGAUGAAGAGAUCAUCCCGAGUGUGCCAUAUUUCAUGUGUCACGGUGCAGGAGACAAAUCCUCCUUGGGAUCGACGGAGGAUCACCACCAGUCCAUGAGAUCUACCCCGGGAUCGGCGCCCGAUGGUGUGGUAGACGCACCAUAUACGACAUCAUCAGACUCGACCGCACCGCGCCUACCAUCGUCCGCCACUUUGCGGUCUGCAGUUGGCCAGCCUGACACGCGCUUCCCCGACAAAUUGCAGUGUUACAAGCGGCGUGACCAGCGGCGCCCGACAGGUGCGGUGUCUGGAGCGGAUGAGCAACUAGAGAAGCCAGGAUCUUGUGCACCCUCCGCCAUGGUCGGACAGCAGCCCGCAGCCAUGGAGGAUCCUACACUAGAUCGAGACGAAGCUGUCUCAGAAUCACCAGCACCCAACACUCUUGUGGGCGCCUCUAGAUCUUCUGCAUCGACUGAUCCUGCUGCACCGGCCUCACGUCUCACCAGAUUGCAAAAGGGGGUAAUUCAACCGUUAAAUUAUAAGCACAUAACCAAAUAUAGUCUUGUAUGUUCUACUGGAGAACCAGGUAAACCACACACCCUUGAGAAGGCACUUGGUGAUGACAAACGGAAAAAGGCAAUGAAAGAAGAGUACAUGGAACUAGAGAAAAACAACACUUGGCAUCUAGUUCUCCCAAACCAAUGUAAAAAAUCUUAUUGAUUGCAAAUGGGUAUUCAGAAUCAAGAGAAAAUCUGAUGGGACUAUUGACCGCUACAAGGCUAGACUUCUUGCAAAGGGCUUCAAGCAACGGUAUGGCAUAUAUUAUAAGGACACUUUUAGUCAUGUUGUUUAUAGGGGUUGGAGCCUUGGACAACUAGAUGUUCAGAACGCGUUUCUCCAUGGUAUUCUGAUAGAGGAAGUAUACAUGAAACAACCUCCUGGGUUUGAAGACAAGAACAAGCCUUCUUAUGUAUGCAAGCUUGAUAAAGCUAUAUAUGUGUUAAAACAAGCUUCAAACAUCUCUGUCACAAGAUGCAGGCACUUGGUUUUGUUCCCUCAAAUCUGACACCUCAUUGUUUAUAUCUACAAUAAUUCAAAUACAUCCAUAUUUGUUCUCAUAUAUGCUGAUGAUAUUAUUGUUACUAGUUCAUCUCAUGAGGCAAUCACAGGACUCCUGAAGGAUCCGAGUACAGACUUUGCUCUCAAGGACCUUGGAAAUUUGCAUUAUUUCCUAGGGAUUGAAGUGAAGAAACAUGAGGAUGGACUUCAUCUCUCCCAGGAAAAAUAUGCAUCUGGUCUAGUUCGGAAAAAUUGUCCGUUACAGAAGGAAAACUCUUGAAUCAAGAGGACAAUACCAGAUAUAGGAGUCUAGUUGGUGCACUUCAAUACCUGACUCUAACAAGACCUCGUCUGUCUUUUGCUAUUAACAAAGUGUGUCAGUUUCUUCAUGCACCUACUUCAGUUCACUUUACUGAUGCAAAACACAUCAUUAGAUAUGUCAAACAUACUUUAAAUGUUGGCCUAUAUUUCAGUAAAUCACCAUCUACCCUUGUGAGUGCCUUCUCUCAUUCAGAUUGGGCAGGAUGCCUAGAUGAUAGGUGUUCCACUAGUGGUUCUGCUGUAUUCUUUGGACCUAACUUGAUAUCAUGGAGAGCAAGGAACACAAGCAACUCUAUCCAGGUCAAGUACAGAGGCGGAAUACAAAGCUUUGGCAAAUGCCACAUCUGAAAUUAUAUGGGUUCAAUCUAUUGUUAAGGAGCUUGGUGUGAGAACAAUCAAAGUCCCCUUCUUAUGGUGUGAUAAUCUUGGUGCUACUUAUCUAUUUGCUAAUCCUGUGUUUCAUGCCAAAACCAAACAUAUAGAAAUGAUUUCCACUUUGUCCGAGAAAAAGUGGCCAACAAACAAAUUGAUAUUUGGUUUGUGCAUUCCAGAGAUCAAGUUGCAGUUGGAUUCACCAAGGCUCUACCAGUAAGAAGCUUUCAAGAUUUUAAACAUAAUCUCAACUUGAUGAAGUUGUGAUUAAGGGAGGGUGUUAAACACAACAGGUUGUUACGGCUGGACAUAGAUAGGCCAUAACUGUUAGCCGGUUGUUAGCUAGUUUAUUUUCUCUCUAUCUCUUUUAACCGUAUUCCUUAUCUCUUCCUCCCCAAGUCAUGAUCUCAACAAUGUAAUCUCAACAAUGUAUGCGCUACAGGGAGGUGCAACCCUGCCCAUAGACAUGCACGACGUCCCUCCAACGAGGUAAGACAUUUUCCGCCUAUCACACAGACUGGUCACAAAAAUGCGACCCUAACGGGUUCCUCGAACCGGCCUCAANNNNNNNNNNNNNNNNNNNNNNNNNNNNNNNNNNNNNNNNNNNNNNNNNNNNNNNNNNNNNNNNNNNNNNNNNNNAUAUGGGGGAGCCCGGGCGCGAUUGGCAUGUCCGCCUGGCUCGCCCUGGCCCGGAUCUACUCCACAUAUAUUCGUCCCCAUCCGCUCGUCGGAGCAAACCCAAGCUCAACUCCGGCAUGGCGGGCAGCGGAUCUGAGUCCUUCACCUCAAGAUCCAUCGACCACGAGCUCGUCCCAUGCAGCCCCGAGGAGGAGAUGGUCGUCCGGUUGCGCUCCGCCGCUCCCAGGAGGCGGCCGCACGACGGCAGCGCUCGGACUCACAACAUCGGGAAUCCAUUGCGUCCGCACAACCGGUGCUUGGAUCCGGCAUCGCUGCCUCACCGAAGGCGGCGCGGUGCGUAUGACGUACGAACGUUGUGGUGCAAGCGCAACCCCUCCGUUGGCGCGCCGACCACGAAGCAUGACCAUCCUCGGACGAUGUCAUGGUGCGGCGUGCUCGCCGAGCGAGGCAGCGGGCACGAGAUGCGGCGGUGGUUGUUGGAGAGGCGAAGUCACACUCUCCGACGCCCCAUAGGGUGCUCCAGUGCGGGCGACGCAACCACGUCGUGGUGGAUGCCGACUCCUCCUAGAAAGGAUUCGUCAUCGACCUCACAUCGACUGGCACCCUCUGGGUUACGGGCUCCGACGAAGAAGAGUAGGGCAUGGAAGAUGGCGAGAGCUUGACUCCCUCAGCGGACUAGUGUCACAUGUCUUACACUACCUCGUCGGCGACCGGACCGACACUGUGAGGGACGUAGCCAGCCGUCGGAGAUAAACACGGCGGAGCCGGAUGACCUUCGUUUAGUUUUAGACUUAUGUUGUACGUAAUAUUAUGUAUUUGAGGUUUUUAAUUUAAGGUAUUCGAAUGUGGAAUUUAUUAUCUGAAAUACUCACGCGCGGGCGUUUGAAGGCUUAGUAUUAGACUUAUGUUGUAUAUAAUAUUAUGUAUUUGAGGUUUUUAAUAUAAAGUAUUUAAAUAUAGAAUUUAUUAUCUAAAAUACUCAUGCGCGUUUGAAAAGUUGGAUUUAUAAGAUCCGGAUGCUCUUAGCCCCACGGCGUCGGUCCAGCAGCCACCAGCCUGUGGUGCACUGCACAUGACAAGACCAUACAUGUCUCGGCCCGGUCGAUUGGUGGCGAAUUAAAAGCCUUUGUGUUGCUCACAACGUUUAUCUCUUCCUAACACCGAGCAAACAAUCAUUGAUCUGAACACAUCUCAUUUUCUCCAGAACAAAUAAACUGCCAGGAGAGGCCUUGGUAGGAACAGCACAAAGACAUGAAAAUCCAAGUCUGCUUCUGGUCUCAUCUGCUUCUAGUAAAAAAAAGAUUUUUUUAAAUUCUAUUUUUUUCUGUGAUACAUAAUUUGAUGUGUGAGGUCCGCCUUAAAUUUUAACUUAUUUGAAGAUCUGAGCAACUCUCGAUAAAAAAGACAAAUCGGGUCAAAAUAGUUCAUGAACAGCUAACCUUUUUUACAGACUCCGAUUUAUUUUUUUCGCUAAAAUAUAACUCACGCAUCAGAUUAUCUAUCAUACAAAAAAAUUUACUCCCUCCGUUCCCAAAUAUAAGUCUUUUAAGAGAUUUCAUUAGGGGUCUACAUACGAAGCAAAAUGAUUGAAUCUACACUCUAAAAUAUGUCUAUAUACAUCUGUAUGUAAUCUACUAUUAAAACCUCUAAAAAGACUUAUAUUUAGGAACGGAGGUAGUAGAUUCUUUUGAACCUUUCUACUAUUUGUUUUGAUUUUUUUUCUGACCGGAAGCAGAUGAGCCAGGGACUGCUCAGAUGUCUAAAUAAGCUAAAAUUUAAAGCGGACCUCACGCAUCAAAUUAUCUACCACAUAUUUUUUUAAUUUUUUACUAUUUAUUUUGAUUUUUUUUUUGUCGACGCGGAUGCAGCUAAGCUCGGGAGCCAAAUGGCCGCUUCCACACGUACACCAGCUUUCUUCCUCACCACACUACCGUAUUUUGAGGUGUAAUUAUUUUGUUUAUAGGUUGAGUGGGGGCUAGACUCUGUGACCCGUUUAAUUCGAGCUGCAGUCUUGCCGACAGCAACGCGUGAUGCCACAGUUGCAUUGAGCAGUGAAAGGGAAAGGCCGUCGUGCUCUACUUUACAUGACUUUGCCAGUGUGAAUGGCUUUACACUGGUACCGUGCUCAACUUUAAUCCUCAGCGCAUCUGUGCUAGUGUGGAGGCGCGUCUCCGCACGGUCGGUUGGUAAAGCAUCUGUGCUGCUCACAACGUUUAUCUCUUCCUUAACACGGAAGAAACAAUCAUUGAUCUGAACCCAGCUCAUCUUCUCCGGAACAAAUACACUGCGAGGAGAGGCCUUGGUAGGAACAGCACACAGAUACCAGCCUUCUUCCUCCCCACACUAGCGCAAUCGCCCAAGUAGAGAGAGAGAGAGAGAGAGAGAUCCAGCUAUGGAGAUUGCCAUGGGGGCUAUCGGCCCUCUCCUCCCCAAGCUCGGCGAGCUGCUCAUGGGUGAGCUCACCAUGGAGAAGAAAGUGAGAAAGGGCAUCGAGUCUCUCGUGACAGAGCUGAAAUUGAUGCAUGCCGUCCUCAGCAAGGUGGCCAAAGUGCCGGCGGACCAGCUUGACGAGGGGGUCAAGAUCUGGGCAGGAAAAGUCAAGGAGCUGUCCUACCAAAUGGAGGACAUCGUUGAUGCCUUCAUGGUGCGCGUGGAGGAUGGCGGCGAGCCUGCCAACCCAAAGAACAGAGUUAAGAAGAUAGUCAAGAAGGUCAAAAAGUUAUUCAAGAAUGGCAAGGAUCUUCAUCGGAUCUCUGAUGCUCUGGAAGAAGUGGUUGUUCAAGCUAAGCAGUUGGCCGAGCUGCGUCAGAGGUAUGAGCAAGAGACGCGGGACACUAGUUCUAAUACUAGUGUUGACCCUCGCAUGGUGGCCUUGUAUACAGAUGUGACAGAGCUUGUUGGCAUUGAAGAAACACGAGACCAAUUGAUCAACAUGUUGAUUGGGGGUGAUGAUUGGUCGAAGCAUCCAUUGAAGACGGUCUCUAUUGUUGGAUUUGGCGGGUUAGGCAAGACAACUCUUGCCAGGGCAGCGUAUGACAAGAUCAAAUUGAAUUUUGAUUGUGGUGCUUUUGUGUCAGUAUCGCAAAAUCCUAACAUCAAGAAAAUCUUGAAGAGUAUUCUCUUUGAACUUGACAAGGUGAAGUAUACAGGCAUUUAUAAUGUAGAAAGGGAAGAAACUCAUCUCAUUGAUGAGCUUAUUGAAUUCCUUCAUGAAAAGAGGUAUGUUUUUUUGUUCUGGCAGUUUGAUAGCUUCUUGUUUAGUAAAACUAUAAACUAAUCCUUAUAUAUAAUUGUGAAUAUGCAUCCAAAUAUGUAACACCAUACUGUUGAUCAAUUAGAGGUUUGUAGUAAGUCUUCCGCGUGUUACUCACAUAAACCUCUAGUAAUAAUUAGAGAGUAGUAUGUUAAGGGGACCAAGAAAUUAUUGCUUAUAUGUCGAUAAUCUCAAUCAUUGAAUCAAUACCCUAUGAAAACUUCAUGGUUACACUUUCCCCAAAAAAAGUGCAUCUUUAGUUUUAGAAAUUUGCAACAGGGAAAUUGCACAUUUCUACACCUACAAUUGCACACAAUUUUUGACCAAAUUUUGGUCUCACAUUAUGGAAUUUUGUAGCCAUAGAAAUAUCAUAUCCUUAGAAUUGCCAACUUAUAUAAAAAAUAUUUGAGUUCUCAACUAAUUCGAAAAAUUCAAUCAUAUAGGUACCUCAUCAUAAUUGAUGACAUAUGGGAUAAAGAAGUGUGGAAAUUAAUCAAGUGUGCUUUCUCCAAGAAGAGUCCCGGAAGCCGACUAAUCACAACAACUCGUGUCAUUAGUGUCUCAGAAGCAUGUUGCCCAUCUAGGGAUGAUAUUUACAAAAUGAAACCUCUUUCCAAUGAUGUAUCAAGAACGCUCUUCUGUAAACGAGUUUUUUCUGAUGACAAAGUGUGUCCCCAAGAAUUGGUGCAAGUAACCGAAGAUAUUUUGAAGAAAUGUGGGGGCAUACCGUUAGCUAUUAUUACUAUAGCAAGUCUUUUGGCUAGUAACCAUCAAAUAAAACAAAAGAUCAAUGGUAUGCUUUGCUCAAUUCCAUUGGUCGUGGACUCACAGAAGAUCGAAGCGUGGAAGAGAUGAAGAAGAUAUUAUUAUUCAGCUAUUAUGAUCUACCUUCUUAUCUGAAACCAUGCUUAUUAUACUUAAGCAUCUUCCCAGAAGACCAUGAGAUUAGGAGAGAUAGACUGAUAUGGAGAUGGAUAUCAGAAGGCUUUGUUUAUAGUGAAAAGAAAGAUAUUAGCUUAUAUGAGCUCGGUGACAGCUACUUCAAUGAGCUAGUAAAUAGAAAUAUGAUCCAGCCCAUAGACAUAGGUUAUGAUGAAAAGGUAAAUGCUUGUCGUGUACAUGACAUGGUGCUUGACCUCAUAUGCUCAUUGUCAAGUGAAGAGAACUUUGUCACGAUAUUAGAUGACACUAGAAGAAAAAUGGGUAACUCAAAGAUAAAGGUUCGCAGAUUGUCCAUUCAAAAUAGCAAGAUAGAUGUGGGUACCACUAGGAUGGAGCAUGUGAGAUCUGUUACUGUUUUCUCAGAUAAUGUUGUUGGGAAAGUGUUGGAUAUUUCAAGAUUUGAAGUUCUGCGCGUGUUGGAUUUAGAAGGUUCUCAUGUCUCAGAUGUUGGGUAUGUGGGGAAACUAUUACAUUUGAGGUACUUGGGGCUAAAAGGUACUCAUGUUAAGGACCUUCCCAUGGAAAUAGGGAAGUUGCAGUUUUUGCUUACCCUGGACUUAAGAGGUACUGAGAUAAGAGUACUGCCAUCGAGUGUUGUUCAGCUAAGACGUCUAAUGUGCCUGUAUGUUGAUUAUGGUAUGGUGCUGUCUGGAAUAGGUAACCUGACUUCCCUAGAAGUGCUAGAUGACCUGGGGUUAUCUGAAGUGGACCUUGAUUUUGUGAAAGAAUUGGGCCAUCUGACCAAGCUCAGGGUGCUCCGGCUUGACUUGGAUGGUUUGGAUGAGAGCCUGGGUAAAGCUUUGGAGGAAUCCAUUGGUAAUAUGGACAAACUGGACAGCCUAGAUGUAUAUGUCCGUCGUGGAGUCAUCAAUUGCCUGAGCGAAGAUUGGGUGGCUCCUCCACAACUCCGCAGAUUGGCUUUCCCGUCAAGUGAUAGUUGGUUCAAGACAUUGCCGUCAUGGAUUAAUCCUUCAUCGCUUCCUCUCCUCUCCUAUCUGGACAUAACGGUGUUUGAAGUGCGAUCGGAGGCCAUCCAGCUUCUUGGGACUCUGCCUGCUCUUGUUUAUCUUAAGAUAAUGAAUCAUUCUGUGUACUGGGAAGGACAUGAGGUGGAAGCGCCCGUUCUUUCCUCUGGUGCGUUAUUCCCAUGUGCGACAGAGUGCCGCUUCUUUGGUAUAGGUGCUGUGCCGUCUAUGUUUCCACAAGGAGCUGCGCCAAGGCUUAAAGUCCUUUGGUUCGCCUUCCCAGCCAAGUGGGUCUCCCGUGAAAGCUUUGAUCUGGGCAUGCGGCACCUCCCUUCCCUGGAGCGAGUCGAGGUUGAUGUUAUGGAGGGAGCUAGCAGUCAGGAGGAGGUGGAUGAAGCGAAGGCUGCGGUGAGGGCCGCAGCAGAUGGCCACCCCAACCGUCCCGUCCUUCGCUUCAGUACGCAGUAAAGGUUCGUUCCGGUUCCUUUGCUUUGACAACAAGGUUAUAUACCUUUCUCAGGGUUUGACUAAUUACUAGCACCGAACUAUUGUUUCAUCAAUUAAUUACUAGCACCGAUCGAACUAUUGUUUCAUCAUUUCUUUAGCCUGUGUACGUACUUCAAUCAGAUCCCUGAAACUAAUGUUACCACUUAUUGAAGUGUCAAGAAUAUUCCAGUGUGACUUCCCGCUUUGGUUACUUACUUAUGCUGCAAAAAAUACGUAGCACAAGUCUUGUUAUUUAUACAUGCUACAAUAUUACAUGUAACCCGAUCAAAACUAGUAACGGACAACCCAACAGUAAUACUGAAUUGUUGAUACGUGUGCAUUUUUCUCUCUACUUUGAUGAACUCUGGUUUCUUCCUUUCUGAGACAUUGAACUGAAGCAUUUCUUUGUGUGUUUCUUCCGAAUGGCAUUACAGGUGUCGUCGACAUGGAUUCAAUCAUGGGUGCCUCCAACAACUCCUCCUGUAUUCUGCUCUUUGACCUGUCUCCCUCUGCAUCCGGAUGAACCUCCUCAUUCUGUCUGCCUUGGUUUGGAUUCUCUUCACACUUCCGCCAACUCAAGAACAAUUAUGUUUGAGGGCGCCUUCCCUGUGUGUUUCGCCCUCGAUGAACCAUUAUUUAUGAGGCACUGCUUGGUACUGUUUGCUUGCUCUCAUUCCGCUUUAUUUGGAGCAGUUCAAUGUUUUGUUCUAGACUCGUAAACUAUAAUGUCCGGUUCAGUUUUCCGUAUUGGUUUCAUGAUGAAAUAAACAGGCCUGUAUUAAGUACAUCUUUGUAUUGGAUUACAACUGGAAUUUGAAUAUCUCUUGCAUAGUACCGUGUGCCUUCGCUAUCAUCUAGUAAUCUGUGAGAUUAUUGGCCCUGAACUGAUGCAGUGUUUUCUGGAUGAAAUAAUGAUUCGGUGUCCCUUCAAUGACUACCGUAAUUAUACAUGGAGCAAAUUAGAUGUUUCUUGCUUGCGAUGAUGCAAAUCAUGCGAUGUAAUGCACAUGAAGACCCGCUUAUUACCAACUCAGUAAGUUCAUGUAGACAGAUAUCAUGACAGUAUCUUCUUACGUUGCCCCCAUCAAACUUGCUUUUGUUUGUGUGUGUGUAUAUUUCCCUCUUGUCGCCGUUGAGCUACAGAUGUUUGUUCGUUUGUUUCUGCUAGUAUUCCACUGCAAUAAUUAGCCAGCUCUGGCCGAGAGUGCAGCCGAGAUCCGAUGACGUUGUUUCAACAGAAAUCUAACCGAAGCUGAAAACCUGAAACCCAGUUCAACACCAAAACAGAGGCAGUAUAUUUUUUUUAUAGUACUUUUUCUACAUUGUCACUCGUUCUGGGCUACUAAUUCCUGGCUCUGUAGAAACACUGCAAGUUGGUUACUUUUGUCCGCUUCUGAGUUAAAAACUACUACCAUCACCGCAAAAAGAAAAAGACUUAAAAACUACUCCCUCCAUUCCUAAAUAUAAGUCUAUUUAGAGAUUUCACUAUGGACUAUAUAUACAUGUAUAUAGAAAUACUUUAGAGUGCAGAUUCAUUCAUUUUGUUCUGUAUGUAGUCCGUAGUAAAAUCUUUAAAAAAAAUUAUAUUUGGAAUGAGAGGGAGUACCAGCCAGAAAUUCAGAUUAAGUACCACAUUCAUUUUUCAUGUGAAGUGAUGAGUUGUUUCUAUCCCCUUGAUCAGGUGCAUGCUCUGUCUGUGCGAUUGUGUGUACCCGGAAUGUGAUCGGUCGAUCGUUUCCCUCCUUUCUUCCCUCUAUUGGAGAGUCGAGUUUCGUCAGUACUCAGUUCGUGAGAUCAUCUGAAUUUUCGUCACCUUUUGUUUGCAUUUCUUUCUCACUGGUUUUCCUUGCAUUUUCUCCAGCUUACAAUCUCUAUCAUCUUUCUCUUUGUGUAGAGCUGGAAAUUGCUUUAACUAAGAUAAGGCGAGAGGCCGAUGUCAUCCACUUUCCUGUUAUUUAGACAUGUUGAUCCACUUCUCUGAUAUCCCUCAGACCUCAACUUCGUCCAAGCUGUCCCUGGGACCAUGUCGAGUGAAGGACCACAGGGCAGCGUCUCUGUGCGUGCACGUGACAGCCUCUGCUCUCGACGAUUAUUUCUACCGCGUUUGCAGACGGAUAGAGUCAGUCAUCACUCAUCACUCAUCAGAGAGAGAGAGGUCGAGCCAUGGAGUGGAUCUCGCGACGGGUGCUCCGUCGGCCGCCAGCCCUGGCCUCAGGCAAAAAACCGUUGAAGAAACAAAGAGAAAAAAACAGAAAGAUCAUAGAAACCAUAGCGAACGCAGCCACCAUCAAGCUCCUCAAUUGAAAAAACAGCAUGGGUGGCCUUGGUGGCGUGGUGUUGACGUUGGUGACUGGGCAGCAGUGGUGGCGCUCCGACCCUACAAGCCCAGAUCUAGGCCCUAGGACCUGAUCUGGGUCACGUCGGGCCUGUCUUGUUGCCUCCGGUUGGCCUACGGCGGGGAUGACAGCGUUGACGCCGCAGUGCUACAGCAUGGCGAUGGGAGCUUCACGGGAUUUUCCAUGCCCGGCUGAGCUUUUGGGCUGCAUGAGGGUAGCGGCGGUGGCGGGCUACGUGCAGCAGCAUGGCGCCGGGGACUUUACGAGCCCCGGGGCUCGACCGGGCCUAGUUGUCCUGGUGUGUCCCGGCUGCUGUGUCCGGUCGUCCUCCGGGUAGAUGCACUGUUGCCGCCCACUACAAUAAAUAUGUCAACUUGUGAAGUUCUCUUAAUGACCCCAGUUGAAUUGGUCGUAAAUCCACGGCCAUUUCGAUAGGAAGGGCUCAAACCCUGAAAUUGCCUCACACCAAAUGGUCAUAAAGCAGACAACAAUUGUCAACGACCUUAUUUAUACCUAAUUACGACCAAUAUAAAUGAUCAUGAGGUUGUGAACAUGGAUGCAUUGGUACCUAAGGCCACCUCCUUUUUAUAUGUAUACAAAAAAUGUACAAUGUGUAAAACCAAAUAUAGACAUCAAAACGUAUGUAUGAAAAGGUGUUUUUAUUGAGAAUAUAUGAAAAGAUGUUAAUCAUUUAUUAGAAAAUGUUAAACAUAUAUAAACAUUCCAUGUGAGCUCACAAUCCAAUCUUUGUUUCUGAUAAUAUUUUCAGUCUGUGAAGCAUCUAUAUUUUAUAUUGCUUUUAUAAUUGCUGAAAAUUUACUAGGAUAUGACCGUGCCCAUAGAACCUCCACCACCAAAUUUUAGCUCAUUUAAUUUAUCCAAUUUCCCUCAAUAUUUACCCUAAUUUUCUGUUCAGUGGACAACAUUGUGAAGGAAAUAUCAUUUUUUUAUCCAAAUGGUAUGAAAAUUUUAGAGUGCCUUCAUAUGCCCAAAUUAUCAUCCUUCUCCAAAUUAUAGCUCAAUUCAAUCAUCUAUGUGAGCCCAGUAUCAAUUUCUAUCUUUUGUCCAGAUUGGCACAUUGCAGCAAGUGCUAUCUAGACCCCUCCUAUUUCCCUCAAGCUUUUUUGGCUCUCAUCCACAUUCAAAUCAUUGCCACAUGCCAAUAUUCAGCUCCAUUUUCGUAGUAAAUCUUCAUCAGUAAAUUUCCAAAGUUUCUAUCCAGAGAGAAUUUUUGUGAAGAAAGUACUGGCUAGGAUUAUCUAAAUUAUGUGAGGAUUUUCCAAAUGUUUCACAUACUCAAAUAAUCACUCUAUACAAAAUUUGAGAUUUAUCCAGCAAACCAUGUAAGCUCAUCAUCCAAUCUUUUAUUCUCGUCAUAUUUUCAGUUUGUAACCCAACUAUAUUUUAUAUUGCUUAAUUAUUUCUGAAAGUUUACCAGGGCAUGUUUCUACCUAUAUAACUUGCCUCCACCAAAUUUGAGCUUAUUUCAUUUAGUCAAUUUCUCUCAAUAAUUUUCCCAAGUUUCUGUCUAAAGAAGAGCAUUGUGAAGGAAGUAUCACUUUGGCAUGCUAAAUGGUACCAAAUUUUUAUUGUGCCUUCCUCUUCCCGAAUGACUAUCCUCCACCAAAUUGCAGCUCAAUAAAUUCAUUAAUUUGAGCUCACAAUCCAAUCUUUGUUUCAACUAAUAUUUUCAAUUUGUGAAGCAACUAUAUUUUAUAUUUCUUUAUAAUUUUUGAAAAUUUACCAGGACAUGACUGUAACGACCAAGAUGCGGUCCUUUCUGAUCUGCGGGUCGAGGCCCCCGAAUUGAAAAGAAGCGCAUCUAAGCGUUUCGCAAGCAAGUAACAUAGCACAAAUAAUAAUAAAAGUAGACAAUUCGGGAUUCAACUGUCUUCUUAUUAAAAACUCAGAGUACAACACAAAUACAAUCAAGGUAGUUCCGCUACGGACUACAAAACAUGGAAAAUGCUAUGCUACCCUGCUGCAGGCCCACGAUCACGACCACGGCUCAGUCCUCUGGAUAGUUCACGUAGAGGCGGUAUGUCUCCUCGUCGUACUGCCACGCCAGCUGGGUGCCGUUGGGAUCAUCUGCCUCUGGGGUACCUGUACCUGCUGGGAGUUUCGGAGGAAUCCGUGAGCCACGGGGACUCAGCAAUCUAAGACCUUGGUGCCAGAACUAGUCAUGUUAUUGGGUAAGGUAAGGGUAAAGUGUAUCCGGCUGCAGCAACCUAUGCUUGAUUAAGUGGCUAACUUACGCAAAGUAGAAGUAAAGGUGGUCUACACUAACGAUCGGAUUUACUUGAUCACUAAGUGAUCCUGAACACCUACCUACGGCAUUCAUAACCCCACCGUGUUCCCGAUCGAAGAGAGAUAUUCGAAGGGACAGUCACGGUUACGCACACAGUUGGCAUUUUUAUUUGUUUAUGUUUACGUUCUCUAAUACCGGAUGUUAACAAAAUAUUCCAAGUUGCCACAUAACCGCGGGCACGGCUUUCCGAAAGAUUAAACCCUGCAGGGGUGCUCCAACUAGUCCAUCACAAACGAACACAGGCCGCAAAGGCAUCCUCUACCAUGAAUCUCGUGAUCUCGUCGGAUUCCUUAGAGGAAAACCUCAACUCUGGGGAAAACCAAAGCUUCACUGGGAUUCCUAUACGCAAGAUAUACCGCUUAGGUAAGGCAAGGCUAGCAGGACCUCCCGGUGUGUCGACGACCCGAUAAGAGCCGCGUAUCUCAGCCUCAGGACAACACCGUCUAUGCAAAGUGGACAAGGACCAAACCUCAAGUUUCCCCGGGGUGGUCUUGCCGACUGCUAGGUGGUUGGACCAACACUCAUGAGGAGCACUGGCCUGGGUUGUUGAUUAAAUUCCUCGGGGUAGCUAUUCCCUAUGCAGAUUAUUAGGUGAUUAGCAAAUAAUACCAAUGUUGGGUCCUGCCGGACAAGCCUUAGCACUACGCGAUUUAUCGACGGGGUCCCCAUAACAACCCCGAACGUGUUAGGAGCGAUCAUUAUGGAAUCAAACACCUGUAACCGGUAACUAAGGCGGCAAUAACGGAACAAUGCACCCAGCAAAAGGCUAGGCCUCCCGUCAUUUACCAAGUAUAUAGGUGCAUUAAUUAAAUAACAGAAUUAAAUAAAAUGAUAUCAAGCUCAUGUCAUCACAUGAGUUUUAAACACCUCAACUAGCAAUGCUAACAUUAGUAGCUGAGCAAGCCUACUUAGCCAUACAAGUUUGCUAGGAAGGAGUACGGUGUUUGGGCUCAUGGCAUAUGAAGAGGCAAUUUAAUUUCAGUGGUAGGCAGCAAUCAAUAUGACAUGGAAAUGAAACUAACAUAACAAGUCUAAAGAUGGAAUCAAGGUCAUAUCAUCUUGCUUGUGAUAUCCUCAACUUGGAAUGGUUCUGGUUCGUCCUGCACGUACUCUCCUGACUCCACGUAUUCGUUCUCCGAUCCCGGUGCUACCCAACAUAAGAAUAACAGCCAAUGAACAGCAGCACCACAAGAUGCAACAAUCACAUGAUGCAUGAGAUGAAAGUUGAGCAUGCACCACUAUUUCUAUCACUAGCACAAGCAAAAUAAACUACUGCAAGUUUCUGGACAGAACUGUGCACUAAGCUAUUUUUACAUGCAUGGGAAUGACAUGAACAGAUGCGUCUCGUGAAAAUGGUGCAAAACCAUAUAAAGAACAUUGCAAACGGAGCUACGGAUCAACGGGAAUCAACGAAACAAGAUAUGAAGCUCUACGUGGAAGAUUCAAAACCACAGUCACAAUUGGCACAAAUCUGGUAUUCCCAGGUUGCCAAGACCUAUAACAACCCAACAUGAAUGGAUUGGAGCAAGGAAGAACACCACAACAUCAACUAAGCACACACAUUGACCAAAAUGACAAAACUACAUAAUCUGCCAUAAUCUGCAUCUUAGCUAUUUGGGAGCUGCAUGCAACAUAGCUACAGGUCUUCAAACAUGACAAAUAAUAUAUGUGGCUGUUUCCAACCAAGAACACUACAAGCACCAGCAAGAAUCACAGCAAAAGGAAUUAAACUCUAGAAGAUACAAGGCCACAAACUUUCCCAAAACCAUCAGAUCUCAGGGACUUAGUGAAAAUUCCUGCACCUGAGUUGUUGUCACUGUUCUGAAGCUUUUUGACAGCAAUCAAAACACAACCUACUGGACACCAAAUGAUUUGAAAAUUGACAGGAAGCUUCACAAACAUACCAGGUACAAAAUCCUAGCACUGAACUAGGGCUAGUUCUCAACAGAAUGACCAGCACAUCCUCAUCUAUAGGGGGGAAUGUUUCCAGAAUCCCAGACUUGGUGAAAUUUCAGAUUUCACUAAACUGGAAUUUUUCAGCCACAUGCCCACUUUGUCUAGGCAUAGUUUGCACACACCUAACACCAAGAGGUAAUUAACACCACUAUGGUGUAAAGCAAAACCCCUACUACUAUCACACAAAAGCUCAUGCCCUUGGGCUCCACCUAUUCCAUGGAAUCAAAGAUCAAACUUGCAACAAAUCUGAAUAUGCAACUACAUAAAGUACCCUUCUAAGACAACAACUACAAAGGUAGGGUUCAUGUGCACAAUGACAAAGUGACAUGGGGGUUUGAACCCCAUGUUUGUGUCAUGCACAUCAACAUCACAAGCACAUCUACCAACUAUCCCCACACACAAACACCAUGCCCUCUCACAUAUAGACAUGUGAAGGUGCAUAAAUUAUGCAAAGGUGGGGAAGUUCCACACACACACAUAUAUUCCACAUCAUUCACCACAACAUCAACUCCUAAAACCAAGAACAACAUGAGGGGGAUAACUACUAAGCAAGUAACUUGGAAGCAUCACCUCUCAAGCAACUUUAGUAGGAACCCCAAGUGGUGUGCACUCACACAAACACAUCUCCAUGCCUACACUAUCAACUUCACUUACAACCCCUAUGCACCCAUGCCUAUUUGCAAUCACACCAUCAACAUAAUCUAGCAAGACCACAUACACACACUCAUAACACUUCUCACAAGAGCAUACACAUACCCAUGCAUCUAGCCUACUAUAGCAGCAGAGGAACAAAGUGAUAUAAUGCCAUCUGUCAUCUCAUGUUUAGGGCACAAAACAAGAACCAGAGCAAAAGAGCACAUCAGCAGAAAAAAUAAAUAAAACAGAGUUAAAAGGGAAAAACAAAAAAAGGGGGCACACCAGGGAUCGAACCCCUGUGCCUCUGGCGCAAACUCGCCUACACUACCACAGCGCUGCACUAGUUUGCUCGAGAGUGAGGGGAGCCCAACCAGGUUAAGGUGCCAUGUGCUGCUUCUACUGUGCCGACGAGAACAACAAAAAAAUGGGAGGACUUCUCCCUGGGAUCGAACCCACGACCUGCUGAUAACACGCCCAAGGUUCCGACCACUACUGCAGAUAGGCUACUGACAGAGGAGGGUCGCGAUCAAGGUAACUACUGCUGCAGACAGCCGCGACCAUGGUAGCUGACAGGCGCCAGCGACAGAGAGACGCCGGAGCGAACCGUUGCUGCCUCUGUUGCCAUCCGAGGGCAACCUACCGAUUGGGAUGGCGCUACGAGGGGGAGGAAGCCCCUGCUACCUCUACUCUCCUGCAACCCGCACCUACAGGGAACCGACAAGCACACAAACAUACCGAAGCUGAUGCUGCUUCGACAGAGGAGCACAGCGACAGGGAAGAACGUCGGCGUUCUCUGCUGAGCAACCACUACCACGCUACAAAGGAGGAAAAACCACAGGCUUCAAGGGGGGAGGAAGCCCCUCUCUUGCACCCCUGCGAACGUGCGCAUGCAAAACCGAACACCACCACGUCCUGACCAAACUACCUAUAUAACACAGAGGCUCCGACAAUCUACCGGCCGAUCCUAGCGAGGAGGAAGGAGGGAGGAGAGAUGCCUCACCUCGGGAAGGAAAGGAAGAAACCACCGGCUCGAAGGAGUAGCCGCAGGGGAGGAAGACGCCGGUGGUCCGCUGCUGCCGACGAAGUAGAGGAAGACGACGAGAACUCCGGGGCCGAGGCGAUGGCGCGCUCCUGGCCGUCGUUGUGGUCGCCCCUCGUCCUCAACGCUGGUGGGAAUGGGUCGCGGGGAGCCUCCCCGAGCCCGUGGACAUGGCCACCGACGCCAGAGACGAUGGGAGGACGGCGUAGACGCGGCGGAGCUCCUCUGCUUCUCUCUGCUACUGUCUACAGGAGACUUACCAGAGAAGAAAGAGGAGAAAGGAGGGAGGUGGCGGCGCUGGGGAGAAGGAGAGGGAACCCUAGGGGAGGAGGAGGGUUCCCUCCACCUUAUAUCACCUCGGGGAAGACGUUGGAGCCACAGGAUCAAGGGGAGGCGAUCGGGAGGUGGAGCUGCGUUCGUACGUGCAUGACGUCGGGAGGAAGAAGAGGUGUCUCGCGUGGGCUGCUACAACGAAGGGGUAUGGGCCUGGGAGGAGACACUGGGCUUCUCUGAGUGGGAGGGAGCCCACCAGAGAAGAAAAUAGAAAACAGCCCUCGAGAUUUAUUUCUAAUUAGGUAAAAAAAUAGAGAAAGAAAAGAAAACCCUCAGGACUAAUGCUGAUUAUAAAAUCAAAACAAAAAUGUCCCUGGGCCUAAAAAUUCCUAAGCUUUUAAAAUAAAAUGCAAAAGGAAUUUUAUGGGGCAUUUAAAUAAAUACAAAACAACAACUAAUUAUACUGUUUUGUGAUUUAUAAACACCCUCAAGACCAAAAUAAAAACUCCACAUCAUCACAUCAUCAUCCCCACAAUAACCUCUAAAUACAAGACAUUUUAAAACAGCUCUUGUGAAGAUGGAAUUUUGAACAUGAGAGAAUAGGAGAGGAAAAGGGUUUGAAAUUGCAAUGAGCUUUGAAAUUCCCAAGCAACCACUCCUACACUCCACACACCAUCAUCACAUGACAUCACACAUGAAAUCACAAGGUAGCUAACCACAAGAUCACCACCUACAUUUAUUACUAACACCACAAGAAAUCAUAGUGCAACAGUUCAAGGUAAGGGCAUGCAAUGAUAUGCUAUGCAUGCAUGCAUGAGAAGGAAAUAGAAGGAAAACACAUGAAAUCACGGUAUCAAUUUAACAUCUUAAUCUCUGACAAGGUGGUCCCACAUGAAGUAGGUCCAAAAAGGGUAGGUUCUAUACUUGGGGCAUUACAAUGACCCUGCACAUAUAACCUCCCUACACCAAAUUUUAUUUGAUUUUAACGUAGCCAAUUUUCCUCAACAUAUUCCCAAUUUUCUGUUUAGCUGAGAGCAUUGUAAAGGAAGUACCCUUUUUAUUUAUCCAAAUGAUAUGAAAUUGGUACAGUUACUUCAUAUGCCCAGAUUAUCAUCCUCAUCCAAAUUGCAGCUCAAUCCAAUUAUCUAUGUGAGCCGAGCUUCAAUUUCUAUUUUUUGUCCACAUUGGCACAUUGCAAAGCAAGUGCUAUAUAGACCCCUCCUAUUGCCCUCAAACUUUUUGGGCUCAUUUCAUUUUGCCAAUUCCUCUCAAUAAUUUUCCAAAGUUUCUGUCCAUAGAAGAGAAUUGUGAAGGAAGUGUCACUUUGGCAUGUCCAAAUGGUAUCAGAUUUUUGAGUGCUUUCCUAUGCCUAAAUGAACAUCAUCCACCAAAUUUUAACUCAAUCAAUUCAUGCAUCUGAGCCCAGCAUGAACAUCCAUAUUUCUGCCCACUGUGGUACUUUCGCAAAGCAAGUGUCACCUAGGCUCCUCCAUUUGAGCUAAAUAUUUGCCAAGAUAGUCUCCUUAGUGAAUGAUCAUCCUCGGCCAAAAUUCAGGCACAUUGGCCAUCUGCAUUUCCCCCACCUCUAAUCAAACACUUGGUUGCUAAUUCAUGUUUGAGCUUACUUCAGUCUUCUCGUGAGAUUCUUAUAUUGUAUUCUUCUUUCUAACACCUACCGAGGGAGUGUCCAACCCAUGAGACAUGCCUAGGCUGCCUAGAACGCGUGGCAACGCAACAGUGACGCGGUGACCACGCGGCUGGCAUGCCAGUUUACGUACUCUGGAGUUGGGGCCCAUGCCCACCAUCCAAACCUCGACGCCUCGCCACCACACCAUGUAUUUCUGAUUAAAAAGAUACUUAUGUAUCUAGAAAUGAUUUUUGGAAAAAUUAAAGAGCAAACUAUGAGGUAGCUGCAGAUCAAAUUUGACCCACUUCCAACUAAAUCGAUGGAAAUUUGUCUUUUUCACGGGAGGUGGAUCAAAACUUUUGACACGCAAAAACGCCGACGCAACAAGGCCGGUUGCGCUUGGUUGCUGCCUUGAUUCGUCAGGGAAUUAGAUGGGACAGGGGGAAGAGAGAAAGGGCAUUGAUCAAAGGAGGAAUGGGCAAGAUCUAGGAGAUGCACGGGGGCUGGGGUCAACACAUACGGCUGAGCGCAUCCUUCAUAUGUGGGGAUAAGGAUGAGGAGGGGAGGAGCGGUGCAAGGGGCCACCACAACGCGUGGCAAUAGUUGGAGGUGGCUAACGCCCGUCGAGUAAUCAUCCGACAGAUUUAAAGACUUCUCCAUAAUAAAUUAGGUGAUUAGUCAUCUCGUCCUAUUUCUGUGGUUGUGGCUCUUUAACUUUUUGUUUGCUUUUAUUUUAGCUCAGAUUGAGCUUGUACUGAUCCUCCGAUAUUUUUGGAUAUUUGGCUUAAUAUGUAUGUCUACAUGCAUCAUGCUCACGCAGAGGUGAGGGGUUAUCCUUCUUUUCCAAAAAAAAAGUUUUUAUGCGGUCUGCAUUUGUGUAGCAACUAGAUCGAGAGAGCUACUUUUGUGUGAGUGCGGAGAUUUUAGAGUUUCUUUUUAUGGACAAAGAUAUUAGAUGGAGUUGCAAUCAGAAAUAUGCAGUGCCCAAGCUUGUCUAGUAGUAAGAAAAUGAUCCUCUAGUGAUAGCGUAAUCACGCACGAUGAGACGAGGAGAUCUAUCGGACAUCAACUAAGUUGCUGUUUGUUUCGGAAAAAGAAAAUCUCUAUGACUUGUUUACGGUGUAAUCGGAAGAUAUUGCACGCGUUUGUUUGAUGUACGUUAUAAUCCUCUGCCCCGUAAACGAAUAUAAUAUAUCUUUCGAUCGAUACCACCCACACCCCUUCGUAAACGGUUUUCUUACUACAACUUCUCCUCUCAUGAUCCGCUCCUUCUCCUCCUCGACCAACACCGUCGCCUCCCGAAAGAAUUGAACGCCGCCGCAAUCGAGCCGGCUCCACCCGUCUGUGAUGGCCAGCGAGUAACCGGAUGUGCUCCUUCUCCUCUUUUCAGGCUUUCCGGUAGCCGUUGCCGCCGCCCCUGGUCACUACUCCGUUCGCUGCUGCCCAAGCCCGCCCUUAUCGUCGGACCGCUCACUGCAAGGCACAUGUUUCCCUCCUUGUUGCUUUUCUUCUUUUUCAGCCACCGGGCGUUACAACUCUGGAGAUGGCACCCUAACUUAAUUCCUUUACAAGCAUGAACCAAACAAAACAGCGAUUAUCCAGUACAUUCCCAUUAAUAGAGUGAUCUAUUUCAUUACCAUUUACGUUACCAUUCUCUAAUCCAAACACCUUCUAGGAAUGGAUGUAAGAUUUUACUCCUGUAUUUAUCUUACAAGUGUAAAUUAUCAGUCAAUACUUGAUUCCAAAAAGACGGGACAAGCUCUGUACUGUAUACUUUACCGGUCUGGAACAAGGAGAAACGCUAAUCCAAACGCAGCCUAGGUUGUUUGUGUUCGUCUCAGCUGGAUGACACACGGGACCCACAUGGCAGAAACUCUGUGCCGGCACUUGACCAGUCAGAUCCGUUAACAGGCCCUCUGCUCCCAGCGUUUGGAGACAGUCCGUCAGUCAGAGUCUCGGAGCUAGAGGUCGAGCCGUUGAGUGGAUCUCGCGGCGGCGACUUCCCCAGCCGCCCGGCCGGGCUCGUCCCGGGGCUGGUGCGUCCUGCCGACUUCCUCGCCCGGAGAGGUGCCUGCAGUGCGUGGGCCAAAGGUUGGAUCUCGCAGAAAAUGAGGUAUAUUUUCUUCUUCCUGAUCUGGAUCCGAUUAAAUUAGUUUCUUGGACUAAAUGGGUGUACAUCUUAAGUGCAUAUUAGUUUCUUCCGUUCUAGGUUGUUUAAUCUAGUUUCUUCAAGUACCGGCCGACCGGUGUGCCCAUCUUAAUCCCUCAGUGCAAAUCCUCUGUUAUCCAUGUUACAUUUGCUCCUAGGGUCUGCUCUAGUGAGGCCAGAUAACUAGCACACGCUUCAGUACUGACCUCUCUUUGUGAUAAACAUACACCAGAUGCAUCUUAAUUUGUUUGCCAACUAAACGGUGCAAAAACUUCGUCAUAUCCAUAGGUCAGUGUGGGAUGAAAAUCACAACUGUUUGUGGACCUAAAACAGAUGCUAGUGCAGAAGAAAUGAAGAUGAUAUUAUUCUCUUGGGAUCUGCUGUUCCAGUGGACUACCUCUCCACAUUGUAUUGUUCGGUCGUGUAACUUUCGUGCUGUUGCUUUAUACUCCAGAUUCACCCUAGAUUUACAUUUCUUACCAUAAGAUGUUUUUGUUCCCAAGGGUUCACUUUUUUUGCCUUGAUAACUAGCUCAUUAUUCAUUGUUAUCUUCUCUUUAUGAAUAAAUAGUAUACUCAUGUUGACUUGCCUGCCAACUAAUCUGUUUCAAAAUCUUCACAUGCAUAGGUACUUGGGCAUGGGAUGGGAAUCACAAUUGUUGUGGAGUAAAUGAAGAAUAUCUUGUUGUUUGGCUGCUACCAUCGAUGUUCUUGUAGAUUGAACAUUGCCAUGGGCAUUUCUCUACGCAACCAAUAUAUUAGAUCAAGCAUCAUGUCAUGGACAUCAUAAGACUUUUCUGCCUUGAUAGUGAUGUCUACGGGCUGGAUCAUGCUUCUGUUUAUGAGCUCAUUGAAGUAACUCUCCUAACUCAAAUGGGUCAAUUUCACCUUUAAAUGAUACAUAAAUAUUCAGCUAUCCAUCUUCAUAUGAACUGGUGUCGCUUAAUUUUGUAAUCUUCUGGAUAUAUGCUUACAUGUAAUAAAUAAUGUGAAGGUAGAUCAUAGAACGACAACACAAUUUUUAGUCCUAAACACAUUAUGGUAGACUAGAGAUAGAAAACAAUAGGAACCACACACAUACCAAUGAUAUGGAAAGUAGCAAAGAUAUAGUAAAAGAAGAUCUUGACUUUUAGAUUAUGUCAAAGUGAUAAUCUGGAGUCAAGCUUAUUUUACUACUAGUUUUGAUCUACCUUGUCAUCUAUAGGAUUAGUUAUUAUAUCUAAGUAUGUUUUUAGAAGAUUAGAAGAUUAAGCAAGGUUACUUGAUAUGUAAAUGGAUAGCUGGAUGUUUUGUUUAUCAUGAAAAACAAGAGAUUAGCCUAUUUGAGCUCGGUGAUAGAGUUACUCAAUGAGAUCAUAAAUAGAAGCGUGAUUCAACCAAUAGACAUCAAUUUGAUGAAAGCAUGGAAAAAUCUAUCGUGUUCAUGAUAUGGUGAUUGAUCCCAUAUGUUCUUGCCAAGUGAAGAAUACCACUUACAUGGCACUGAGUGAAAGCGGUCUAUACGAACUUACAAAGGCAAUGUUUGAAGAUUAUCCCUCCAAAAGAGCAUGUCAGAUAUGACCACCAUCAGAAGCAGCAAUGCCAUAAGUGAGGUAACUUGCAGUAUCUAUAUCUGCUAUUGUUUCUAUUGUUGAUCUAGUGCUGCUUAUCUCGAGUACCUGUGCUGGAUUUAGAAUAAUGUGGUGUAUGUUUAUUCUCAUUUGAGACUGUUGAAAAUUGGAGAACACUAAAUUUGUCUUGGCGUUUUGAUCCGCCUUCCCUCUACAAGGUCAUUGUACCCACAUACCUCUGAAUUCUGCAAGUCUCUGCAGCGCCUAUUGCAUUUUUCUCAUAAUGAACUUCCUUUUUCCAUUUAUUUGUGUUGUAAGGAGAACUAUGUAAUAUGAUGUGUUGUUGUCUUGUUAAUUCGCCUUUGACCUUUUGAAUCUUCUUCGACAUGAAGUACUCAUUGUGAUUGUACCCACUUAUACAUGCAUUAUAUUAUCACUUCUGUUGAUUCAAGAAACAUGAAGUUUCAGCCGUGCCUCCUGUAUUAUCACUUAUGCCGAUUCAUGAACUUCCUUUUCCAUUUAUUUGUUUUGUAAAGCAGAAUAUGUGAUCUUCCUUUUCCAUUUAUUCAUUAUUUAAGGUAGAGUAUGUAAUUAUGAUUAUUGUUGCCUUGUUUGCCAGCUUUGAUUAUCCAUUGCGUCUCUUUCUUCCUAGUAGUUUUCAGAGUUGUUUUACUCCAGAAUUGUGGAAUGAAAAUAUGGUCAUUCAGUUUAUACAAUCAUUUGAAAUUUCACCUUUUAUCUGUAGGGGGUGCUGUUUGUUUCAUUUGUCGCCUUGCAUGUGUCAUGUUGGUUCAAAUUUGACUGAACAAAUGUUGGAGUGCUAAUUUUGAAAAAGGAAACAAGAAAGACAUAUCAGGCAACCACAAAUAAUAAAAUUAGAAGGAGUCUAAAAACAAACGAUAAUCUUGCUUAAUUACUAAUAUAAUAUCAUAUUCAAGUAAAAAAAAUACAUAGACUCCUCUACUCCAGAAUUAUAAUCCAGUGGCCAACUGGAUUUUGAAUGUGUAGCAACUUCUAAAAAGUAGAAAUCAUGCCCACAAGACCCCAUCCGGACUGACCAUGCUUCAACCUCAAGUGACCAGUUUCUGUGCUACAGGUACAUAAUGCCACAUGUGUCGCCAUGCGUAUUCUUGCCAUCCAAAGAUUACCAUGAGGGGCCAAAUUGUAAGCAACAUUACCUUUGGCAUCUCUGAUCUUAGCAUUACUGGCAAUAUUCCUACUCUACCACAUACCACUAUCAUGAAUUUAACAAUCUUCUCAACUAAUGAUGGCAUGUAGAGGAUUUCUAAGGAAGAAAACACCACCAUGACCAUAAUAGCAGUUCCAGAAAUAAUUGGGGUGAUCAUGAUGUAUAUAGCCAAUACGAAGGCCGUCCCCAAAGAUAAGACUCCAUUGAAAGAUAACCAUAUGGAUAUAUUGUAGUGCAUGUAGCGCAUGGGUAUUUCGACUGUGGGUGUUCCUGCAAACACAAGGCUUAGGACGGCUAAGGACGAGCAUAUAAAUGCCAAUGCAUUCGCCAUCAAGAAUCCUUGGAAUACUUUAUCGGUAGACAGAGUUGGUGUUCCUCCCUUAGGGUGAUCAUCAGCUCUGUAACCCCCAGGUAAGGCAAAAGCAGCACCAAAAGCCAUUGUUGUAAUUAAUACUAAGCCAAGGCCGAGAAAUUGCGUUGAGUUUGAUAUUACAGCAUCAAUCUUAACAUCAGAUUGGGUACUAGGUCCUUUUUUCAUGUUAUCCCGCCGACAAAUCUGAAGUGUAGCAUCAGCAGAUAUUAGAGCUUGUUGUAUCAAAAUCCGUGAGUGCUACAGAGCAGAAGAAAAGCAACAUCAAGUUAUCAACUUUGUAAUUUUUCUCUGAAUCUAGGAAAUAAAGUACUAAACGAAAGGAAUAGUAAAGUAGUUUACCAGCAGGCAGUAUAACCCGGUCGGAGUACUGCUAACUGAAAUUUCUCUCGGGGUAUGUUGCUUGUUGUUUGGUAGAUUCAAAUCUACUUCUUUGUUUGCGAAGAGACAAGUGAAACCCCACCAAUCCCCAACCUCUACAGCUAGAUGUAAUGCAGUGUUUCCUUCAUUAUCUUGCUUGUUCAUAAUUGAAGAAAACAUGGGUGUCUGGCAGGCAUACCGAACUAUAUCAUAUCUUUUCUUCAUGACAGCAACAUGGAGAAAAGUUCUCCCAUGGGUGUCACGUAAGCUGGCGCAACCUGGACACUUUAAAAGUAAGAUGAUGACAGAUGAAAGUCUCCCCGCUAAUGCAGCGACAUGUAUGGGGAAUGACCCUUCUUCGUCCGGUUGAUAUGCUGAAUAUGCAUCCGCCUCCAAUAUAUGCAUGGUAAGGUCCAUUGGUGUUCCCACUACGUUCAGAAAACUUGUAAUGCUGGUUCCAUUUACCACGGGCACGGCAUAUUGGGGAAGCAUACCACGUGUGCCAGUUUCUAAUGAUACCGCAAAGUGUAGAGGUGUAUUUCCAUGUUGGUCUCGCUUUUUAGUAAGCUCCUUGUUCCAGCUCAGUAGUAAUUUUGUCAUAUCUGCAAUUUGGUCCUCUCUGUGUCAAACAGUGCAAUAUGCAGAAAUGCAUGGGAAAGAUACAUUCGGAAAUAUUUGAUCAUUCACUACAACUCUUUAUUGUUAUAUGUAGAAGAAUGACUUGGAUAAAUAAAUCCUUAACCUAGGCGUGAAUAAUUCGUCUUCACUCAACAGGGAACCUGGAAUUAAUGCAUGUGUAAAAGAAAAUCACACAAUCCUGAAAAUAUUCUUGAAUUGUGGAAGGCCAAGAUAAGUAUGUAACAUGAGAAAGUAAAUGGAGAUCAUUUACUUUAGUGAAAGGACGUCAUCACAAGUUUGCAGUAAAAAUGUGCUUUUGCAGUAAAAAUGUGCUGGAUAUUUUCUCAGUAACAAAGAGGAGAAGAAUGGUCUAGCAUAUUAUCUGAUAUGCUAAGUAAAUACAAUUAUCUCACAUUCAAAAUUUUAAGUUGUAUUGUACUCCUAUAUAGCAAAUUAAAUACAAUCAUUUUUAUGAUCACAGCAGAGAAGUCAGGUACCUCUGCUUCGAAGAACUGCAGCAUGAAGAGCAUUCUGUCCAUCUGGCCCGGAGUAUGACAACUUCUUGUCUCUCUGGUAGAGCUCCCGCACGAUUUGUUCAUGUCGCAGAGAGACGGCAAGGAACAAGGGCGAGGUCCCGCUGUCCGGAACGCGAGCGAGGAACGGGUCCGCCGUCAUCAGCUCAGCCACCGUGAGCAUGUGACCAGCGCGAACCGCCUCAUGCAGGGCUGUCUCCCUGAGCUCGUUCUGCAUCCUCACCAGCGUCGUCACCCUCCCAUCUUCACCAGCGACCUCUUCCCCUCUUGCCAGCUCAACAAGGAGAGCGGCCAUCGGGGCAUGGCCGGCCCUGGCGGCGCAGUGCAACGGCGUGCUGCCGCCACUGUUGCGUGCGCCCAAGAGGUGCGGCGCCUUGUCGUAGACUGCCCUGGCUUUCUUCAGGUACCCGUAGGCUGCUACGACGUGGAGUGCGGUGUCCCCGUCUGGGGUGACCCCUUCCAGGAGCAAGGACGAUGGUGGUGAGCGCACGGUGCCGGGGUGGUCGAUGUCGACAACGACCUCAAUAGGCACGUCGGCCGCUCCUCCGUUCAGAAGGUUCGUCAGUUCCCUGCAGCUGCCAUGGCAUGCCGCCUUGAGCAGCUCGGGAUGCAUGGUAGGGGCGGUUGCCACCGCAGUCAUGCUGCCGGUUUGCUGUGUGUGUGUGGCACCAAACCAAAGUGACGGCUCUAGGUAAGGAAUUGCACAGAGGCAAUCUAAAUCAGCUGAAGAUUCCUUUAUGCUUGACUUGGGUUGCAAGGCCUUAUUUGCAUCCGCCAACACGCAAUGAAUGGGCAGCAAAAAAAGUGGUUUAUGGAGGCACUCAAAGUAUCAGUCUGGCUCUGGUAUGGUCAUUCUAAUUAAUGAAAGAGUUUUGCUACACCUACGUAAUAAAGAAUAUGUAACUUAUGAAUGAGCUGGCCUGGCCUGAUUGGAUUGGUAAAAAAAAGGCACAGAAAAUGGUAUCUGAUCCAGUAACAAUGCAUACAGCUUUCUUUGGAUGCAGUCUUCAUAACAAUGCAUUCUCUUUUGAGGUUUAUAUUAUACUACCUCCGUCCCAAAAUAAGUAUCUCAACUUUGUACUAACUUUACUAUGUGAUACAUUUAACUCGAGCUGCAAUUUUGCAGACAGUUGUGUCGAGCAGGAAUUCUUUCUAUGCUUGAUCAUAAAUUCAUAAUGUGAACACUCUUGACAUUGUUUUUCAGUUUCAGGCGGCCAGAAUGCUAAAGUCGACCCAUCAAAUCCGGCAGUCAGGUAUAUUAUACUAACUCCAUUAAUUAAUUAGUAGCACCGAACUAUUCUUAGCUUCAGCAAUUUCUUACCUCUGUAGCUAGAUCAGGCCCUAAAGCCUAAACACUGCAACAUUUAAUUAUUCAGCAUUGUCCUUUUAAUUUAUGCCGCAAAGAUACAUAAGGCCCCUUAAUUGUCAUUUCUGCAUGCUACAAGAUUAACGAGCAAACCCACUAUGUGUUUCUAUACUUGGAUGAACCCUGUGUUUUUAUUCUGUUUAGAACAUUUGACUGAACCAUUUGUAUGCUUGUGCCUCCAGAAUCCACAUCUGUACGUUUUUUCUAGCACUAUAUGUGCCUAUCUGAAGUUCCAGCAAAACUGCAAUGCGGAUUUCACCUUGGUUACUUAUGGUGCAUAAAUAUAUAUGCAUCAAUUGUUACUUCUGCUUGCCACAAGAUCUCGUAUAACGUGGUCCAGAACUUCAGAUUUGCAAGCAAUCCCUUUUCUAUUGUUGGAUGAAGUAUGUUUUCUUCUUCUGUAUCGUUUAGCUGGGCCACUCACAUGUAUGUCCUUCAACAUGGCAUUGCAUGUAGCAUGAGCAAAAAAAAAUUGUCGACAUGGACGCUGAUCAUGCGUGCCUCCAAUUCCGGUGCCACUUCUUUUUCAAACAAUACACUCAAGCACACUGCGUUUUUCUUGCUGUUUGAUCCGUCUUUAUUCUGCAACGAGAUGAAGCCAACAUUAUGUCCACUCAUGUUUGAGUUAUCCUCUUGUUUACACCAAUUCCAGAACCAUUAAGUUUGUAGGGCACAUGCAGCAUUUCGCCCUGAUGAACAAUUAUUUAUUAAUUGUUAUGCACUGGUGAUGUAUGGUUGACUUGUUCUCCAGCAUUGUUCGUUACACUCCUUUAUUCGUAACAGCUGUAUUUCAGACUCGACGUUUAUUCCAGACACGAAAACUAUAAUGUCAGAGUUCAGUUUGUAGUAUGGUCUGAAGUUCAUCUUCCAUUUGUCAUGUUGGUUUGAUCAAAUAAAUCAUGAACUCGAACCUUUUCUUUGCUACCGAAUCACAUGUGUGCCUUCGCUGUCAUUUACUCUGUACAAUUAUUGGCUCUGAACUGAUGCAGGGAUUUCUGGAGGAAAGAAUGAUUCGGUGUACUCCCUUCAUAGACUGUCAGUCUCUCCUUUGCUUGCACUUGUACAGGGAGCAUAUCCAUUGAGGUGAUUGUCUUUUUUGUGCCAUGAAGCAAACCAUAUGCUGCAACGCAGACGAAAGGUCGAUAACCAUAACCUAUAUGGUUAUUAACGCUGUUUAUUAACAACUUGAUCCAUAACAUAUACUAUGCUGCAACGCAGACGAAAGGUCGAUAAGGAGCCUACUUCGGCCGAGCUGGAGCAGGAGAUUAAUUCCUUCAUAGCAGCAACUGCAGACUGUUUCUUAUUCGAGGAGACUUGUCAACAUUCGGUCCAUGAGAUUAUCUGAAUUUUGCACACCUUCUGUUUGUACUCCUAGCUCAAUCGGACCUAGAACAGGAGUAUCUCUUUCCCAUUUGUAUUCUUCAUAUCCUUGCAUAAUUGCAUUUGCUACUCAUGCUGAUCCAAGUUUCAUCAAACAAGUGGCCAAGACACAGUGGCGUUGUUUUGAUAUACAAACAGGUAGCUUACAGUAUGUAUCAUCUUUUUUCUCUUUGUGUCGAACUUUUUUUUUUGGAAAAGAAGGAACUUAGCCCCGGUCCUCUACAUCGAUUGAUUCAUAUAGCCGUAUUAUUAAACAGGUAUAAAAAUAAAGUUGUAUGUCUACGAAGGGCUUACAAUCUAAGCAAGACAAAAGCAAAUAAUUGAACUAAAAAAACCACCACAUCCGGCAAGACCAAAAUCAGGCUAGGAUGUCUAUACACCUAGCAUAUUAUUAGUCUGUCAUUCAAAUCGGUUGAAGAUAGUCUGUGCGACCGUCUUUCAUCGAUUGCACCCAAUAAUCAUAAGCUUGCUUUAGUCCGCAUAGUUGAUUAACGGCCGCGUACGGAUCCAAGACGUGGCCUUCUGUAUAACCUACAAAAAAAUAUUAAAAAUCUUGCCAUUGAAAGUCAUGUCAUUUGGACCCCGACCCCACGUCGCUCCUCCUGGGGCGAUUCGGGGGAACCAAGUCCUCCGCUACCGGGCUCCCCUCCCCCCCUGAGCGCCCUCCUCCCGUCGUUGCCUGGCUUUACCACGGUGGCCCGGGAGAGAUGUGGUGGACCCGGUUGUGAGGUCCGUGGGCGCGUGGUAGCGUCGUCGUGCAAGAUCUGGGAAUGUGCAGUGGAGGCAGCUCCGGUGGCUGUGAGGGCGCUGGUGGUGGGCACUCCAAUGGCGGAGUUUGCGGGCUGUGGAGGCUCUCCCGUUGCUUGGAGCUGCUCAGCAGAGGGGUUAGAUCCGCCCAGAUCAGGCUUCCCUUGUGGCGGCUGCGCCUCGUCGGAGAUGGCAAGCCGAGGGGGCGGCCCCUGACAUGGUGGAGGCACCUUCCUCUUACUCCCUCGUCAGGGAUUGGGUGGGGACAUGAUGCGGCUGACCGCCGCGGGUCCAAGUCUCAGAUCCGUCGGUGGUAGUGCUCGGAUGUGCUCCUGUGGGAGCGGCAGGGCGCCCUCGGGUGCCGGGGGCUCCUCCCUUGGCUUGUGGAGCUGUGGUGGCGGCGGUGAACCGUGGACGGCGGCGUGGCCGCGUCGCAUAUUGGGUGGGUGUGCUUUAGUGAUUGUGGAGAUAGGCCUCCGGCCUGCGAGGAAGAUGUGGAUUGGUGGUCUUCAACAAUGGCCCAUGCCCAUUGCUCAGUUUGUUGCGAUCAUAUGCUCUGGGAUUCCUUGUGUGGCUCAGCAGUGAAGGAGGUGCUCCGGGCGAAUGCCUUGCACUUGCUUGGUCGCGGUGUCAAUGAUCUCGUCGCUCUCGGACGUCGCAUUCCUUCCUGAAGGCCUCGUUGUGGAGCUACCUCUACGCCCAUGAGUGUCAUGUGAUCUCCGGGUGAAAACUCAAGCUCCAUCAGAGUGGGCAAUGGCGGCACCCAUGUCGUUGCCUUCUUGGAGGCAUUGCCUUGAAAUCCUAACACUUAUGGGGUGGCGGGUUUACGACAAUUAUAGGAUUGCUUUGUUGUGAGGGUGGUGGAUGCUGGGGCGGCGGCCACGCACUAUGGAUGUACGCCGAGGCGGCGGCCUCAGAUGGCCAUGUAGCGGCGGUCCUAUGGGGUAGACACGUGGCUCAACAUGGUAUGGGUGGCGACCUGGUGCUACAAGGGUAGCGAGUUCGUCGGCUCGGUCGACGUGAUCUGUGGGGUUGGUCUGGCUGGCACGUCGGGGCGGCGGCCAUGGAUGUCUGGCGCAAUGUUUUUGGUCUGCGGACGGGCAGCUCGUGUAGCAAGGGCUACGAGGUGUUUGUGUCAUGCAAUAAUGCGGGUCGCAAGCGAGCAGAGGAUGUCGGGGAGGCGGCUCGAGAGCUGGUGGUGUGUGUUUGUUGCAAUUGUGUUCUUGGGUUGGGUGGCCGACGAGGCUACAUUGCCUGUGCGGUUUUUUGGCCUCGCUUUACUCAUAAACUGGAUUAUUUUGCUUGGAUCAAUUCUUUUCUUCUUAAUGCAAUGCCAGAGCUCCUGGCCCUCUAACGAGGUUCCGUCAAAAAAUCAUAUCACUUUAGUGUUUCUUUUUCUCUGUGCGUAGAACUGGGACAUGUUAUUUGCAUCUCAGUUGUGUCCUUUGAUGUUCUUCACAUUGUGAAGUUUAUUGCCCUGAGCUGAUGCAAUAAUGAUUUCUAAAGGUACGAAUCAGUGAUUGGUUGACAUCAAGCAAUCGAUGCCACUGACAAUAUCUUGUUAUGUUGCUCGGCCCCUCGUCCUUGGUUGAUCUCGUCUGUUUAUAUGGUUGCUCUUGUUGCAAUCAACUAGUUUGUGCUGCAUUUCUACUUGCAUGAUCUGAUAUGUCCGAGAUGCAGCCCUGAUGAGAUUCCCUUUUUAGUGUUUCUUUCGAUCACUCGCUGUUUUGACCGGAAAAUCCUAAUGACCGAAGCCCUGUUGAGUGUUACUCCCUCCGUUCCCAAAUACAAGUCUUUUAAGAGAUUUCACUAGUAGUCUACAUACGAAACAAAAUGGAUGAAUCUACACUCUAAAGUAUGUCUAUAUAUAUCCGUAUGUAGUCCACUAAUGAAAUUUCUUUAAAAACUUAUAUUUAAGAACGGAUGGAGUACAAAAUUCAGUCAUACUGUUUUGAUCUCUGUAUCACAUGGGCCUUUGAAAAUAUGCUAUUAACAUAUUAUAACGUGUUAUUAAUGAAAUAUUGUAUACUGGUUAAUUCAACGAGUCAAUUCUCUAUAUUGUUAUAGAGCGUUUUUUUCCAGUGGAUAGGACACUAAACUGUGGCAAGCCGGACACGGAGAUAUUAUGUAUACAAAUUCCUCUUGUCACCUAGGCAGAGAUAUUAUGUAUUUAACGAGAAGAUAUUAUGUAUACAAAUUUGUAUACAUAAUAUCUCCGUGUCCGAUUAAGUUUAACGAAUAGUCAAUUCUCUACACCUCAAAUUCGUCUUGGUUGCUCAUGUUUUUGUGCACGCUGCUAUAGCUGAGUGAUGCCCGCUAGCGAACUCUGUAGGCUACCAGCCGCCGAGGCAGAGUUGCGGAUGUGUAACUAUAAGUAUAUCCGAAAGACUGAAUUAGCCCAUCAUUUUAGUAUUAAUGUUACAGACAAUUUUUGUAGUCGAUGGAUACAUCAACGAAAAGCUUGGAAUAAUUUAAGGAAAGUACGAACAUCAAUGUCAUGUUUGAAACUUAAACUCGGAUGAACAGGAGAUACCACUGUCUUUCUAUAACUAUCCAACCACAGAUUGCUUUGCUGAUUUUAGCUACUUUAUACUAGGCGACUGAUAGGCGUCGGCGUGCCGGCCUAAAGAUUCGGCCGGUCGCGCCCCAGCCAUCUGAUUCAGCCAUGUGCAGCCAUCCGAUUAUAUCUACGUUCUCUUUUUUCUUCCCCACUCGUCUUUCCCGGUUUAGCCAUAUCCGCGAUUGCCUGACGCAAUUUCCUAUAGCCCCCCAUCUCCCCCUCCGCCCCCUAGCUUCCUGCUUGCAGCUCCGCGUGUUGGGUUGUUAGCUCGCCGUCGCUGCUCGAUGCAUCAGUAGCCGUUGAUCUGGCAUUUUUUACCCCUGUCGCCAUCUUCCUCGUGACAUGACGCCGUCUCUUCCCAUCGCGUGUCCGGCUCCUACGGGUCAACCGCACCUUCUUCCCCCAAGCUCUACCUCCGUCUCUCCCGCACACAUCUCGUCCUACCUCUGGCCGCCUCGCCCACCCUCACAAGCCCCGCCAUCAUCUCAUGCUGCCCAUUGCCGUGUUUGAAGCACCAUGGUAGCAAAUGCAUGGAUGUAGCAAAAAACUUCGCUGGUGGUAGCAAAACUGUUGUCACAGCCGUUGUGGGUUGCAGCUAAUCCAUGAACGAAUGAAGCAAAAUCCAGCGUCGGUUGUAGCAAAAAUGUUGCCGAUGUCGUCGCACGUCAGAGCUAAGUCGUGAAGCAUGUAGCAAACAACAAUGCCAGUAGUGGCAAAAACAUCAAGGACGCAGAGUAUAUGCUGCUCCAGAGCUCGUUUGAGCUUGACGAACAGUAAAUUAAAAAAAACAUUUAAAAAAUUCUAAUUUUUUUGUGAGCAACAUUGAAAAAAGGGCAAAACGCAUGCAAAAAUUUGCCUUGAAAUAAUAUUUCUAUAAGGCGCGAUAAAAAAACAAAACCGAUACUAAAAAAAUGCGCAUUCAGAGUACUGAUUUGUUUUGUCACACUUUACAGUAAUAUUUGCAUGCACUUAAAACUUUUGUCAAUGUUGCUCACAAAAAAAUAUCAGAUUUUUUUUUACUGUUAAUCAAGCUCAUUCGAGCUCGGGAGCAAAAGGCACUUUCCAAACAUCAACGGUUGCAGCUGCCGACCCAGGUCACAGCUAAUUCUUACAUGGUUGUAGCAAAAAAAUAAAUCAACGGUGGUAGAUUUGCCAUAGCUGGUUGUAGCACACAUAGUCUUCCUUCCAGCAAAAACAUACAACUUGUUGAUUGUCAUCGUCGCAUCAUCGCAGCAAAGCCGUGAAGCAUGUAACAAAAACAACGCCGGUAGUAGCAAAAACGACAACGACUUCGCCGAUUCGAUCGCAGCUAAUCGGUACAUGGUUGGAGGAAAAAUGUUGCAGUUGGUAGCUCCACCAUAGCCGUCGUCGUGUAUAAUUGAUCAGAUAUUAUACCAAGUCUAGACGAAAGGUAGACUCCCGGGUCGCCCCGCAGGAGGGCGGCUCCGAAGGACCCCGAUCCGAUCCAGAAGGCCGGAGCCCGAUCUUUCCCCACUGGCCGCUGCCGUCGCUGGUAACGGUGGUGGCAACCACGCCAUGGCUGUCAAAGACGGUGGGGCAAGGCUGGCGUAGCCUGCUGGAUUCCCUUCAUGCGGGGGGUUCGGCUCCUUGGCGGCGCAUGAAGAGGUCCGGCAGCGAGGCGGUGGUGCUCGCCCAUGUGCGGUGCGUUGCAGGGAUGCGUGGAUGGGCCGAGAGUGGCGGAUGUGCGGCGAUGGCCGAAGGUGACGGAGCGGAACCUACGACAAUGGCGCUAUUGCGCAUGCCUAGGGUGCGCCGGAGCCCUCCUACUAUCGCUGUCACAUGUGCCUGAUCCGCUGAUCUGUUCGCCGGAAGUUGGCCGGCGGCGUGGGGGCCUGUUAGUGUGCUCGAAUAAAGGUGACGGUCCUAAGGUUCCUCUUACGCCAAGACGAAGAUCUGCCUGAUGCUCGUACUUCCUGAUCUCGCCAUACUGGCGGGUUCGGAAGGCUCCGCCGGCGAACUCCCAUGGACGUGUUAUGCCUAGAGAACUCCGAUGGACGUGUUAUGCCUAGAGAUUACUGGAUCGGGUGGAAUUCGGUCGUGCCCAUUGGUUCUCCAUUAAGGAGGGAGCAACGCGAAGCUCUGCUAUCUGUUUCCAUCAGGAGAUAUUUUACUCCAUGGUAAAUUCAGAGGCGAAGAAUGUCAUGAAAGCUGAGAUUGGAGGACUAAUAAUGGUGAUUGUAGCCUACAGAUUUUCGGGAUUCGUAGCAGUGCUAUGUAAGUAAGUGGGGUCGACAUCAUAGAUAAAGUUCAAGGUCCUACCUUUUAGGGUGAAUAUCCAAUGUCUGGCUUUAAUUGGUUGUGUCUCACAAUAAACUUGUUGAAGACGUUGUUUUAAGAGCGGGAAUUAUUUCGAGGGUGAAAACCCAAUAUUUACGAUUGGGCGACGAAGGCGCUAGUGCACUGUUUCCUUUUUGAAGGCAUCGUUUUUAGAGUAUUUGGACAUCAGGCGUUGUCUUAGUGGUGGUUGUGCUGCUGCUGCAAGUACUGAAACUCUGUAACGAGACUUUUCCUUUUUAGUUUCUUCUUCGUUUUUUAGCUGUAUGCAUCCAUCAGGCCAUUAGGGCAUUGCGUUGUUGCAGAGGCUGAAAAUAAUUGUAUCUUCACGAUAUUAAUAUAUACUAUUUAUCAAAAAAUAGUCGCUGUCGUACCUUCUCCAUCAUUGCUGGUAGCAGCACCGUAGCAUUGCACGACAUGUUUUGCAGCACUGAAGGUCGUCGUUUCCCUGCCGCCGAUGGAAACAUCCAACUUCCCAUGUCGUCAGCAUGUUCCCCCUCAAUCCUGCUUUCAAAAAAUGGCAUCGUCGGAGAUACAAUUGGAUGCGCCAUGGUCGAGACCUCGUCGUCGAUGGUGCAGAAGCAGGGGAGAAGAAGGAGGCGUGGCGCGGCUAAAGAGGAUAAGGUCGUGGGGAGAUGACGGUUGCAAGGAUCCCAACCACAUGGCACGUGUGGGCAAAACGAGUGGCUACAUGAGCCCAUGAACAACAAUGAGUGUCGAGAUGUCGGGCGGAAUGGUUUGGUCGGCGGCAUCGUUUAUAAACGUUUUUCGUUGUAGUGUACUUAUCUCCCCUGCCUUGAUCCUAAUACUCCCUUUGUCCCAAAUGGGUGACGUACUCCCUCUGUCUCAAUGUAUAAGUCAUCUUAGGUUGUACACCGCGAUCAAUAUGGAGCAAAAAAUGAGAGUAAUUAAUGUUAAUUUGCUAAUUAAUAUCAUCGCAUGCAAUAAAUUGACCACUGCAUGUGAUGCUACUUAGGCAUGUGUCAAUGCUAGUUUCUUAGCGCGGUUUCAUAGAUAUUUUAUUGAUGUGGCAUACUAGUUAAUAAAGAAAGAGAGUCAAAUUGUAUCUUAGCUAACAUACAACCCUUGCACGUGGCCAUAUGCAAAAAAUGAUUCUAGCCCAAUCAUAUGUAUGCAUUACCCUAAAUUAUUAAAUGUAGAUACAACUCAUAAAAAACAAUGUAUUGACAUUGUUGUAUCUUAAAUUCUUAAUGCUCCUAUAAUAACGUGAUAAAAGACGAUGCAUUGGGAGAUGCCUUAGUCUCAAGUCAUUAAAAAAAACACGCCUCACUGAAAGUGCAGUCAUUGCCCUUAAUCGUGUUUUGGUGUUGCUGACAACACACAUAUAGAUAACUAAUUACUAAUCCCCUUUAAGCUAUUGUAAAUGAUCAUGUGUUGAUAAGGACAAGCUCAUGUGCUAACAAGGACAAGAUCAAGAUAAGCAUUCUUGAGCACUACAUGCUUGAUUCUUGUGGAUGUUCACAUAGUGGACAAAUGAAGAUGAAUACAUAAGCUAGGCUUUCCACAUUGUAUAUGGGAGAGCUACUUGAAGACUUCAUCAUGUCUUGCUUUCAACUUGAGCCAAGAAGGAACAACAACAUCAAGCUCAAGUGAAAGGGCUAACUCAAAGGUAUCAGUCCCUUUGACGUUAAUGGUGCGGAGUGAUGAUCAGCGAAUAAAAGUAUACACUCAAGUAUGGAUCAUCGGUACCCUUUUAUAAUUCUUGAAUCUUUAGGGAUCCCGGACUAUUAAGAGUGGAUCACAUGUUUUGUGAUGAAGCUCGUCGCAUCUCUCUUGAACCUCCUCCUACUUUAGGUCAUAAAGUCAAGGACUUCACCACGGUUCCUAAGUCUUCCUACUUCACUUUCCGCCGCGACGUUGACCAAUUUUCUGUUGUACGUGACUCUAUGGACUCACGUUUCCGCACAAACGUCCAAUCGGACAUCUUUACUACUGUCAUUGUUCCUAAGGGUCUCUCUGUCCAUCACUAUAUUGAUCUUGAGCAUAUUCGCACGCACCCGGCGAAAUACCCGAGUGCCAUUGAGCUCAUUGAGUCAUCGGGGCUCGCUGCCCCCUUUGCUUUUCGGUACGAUUUUAACGGUGCUGCUAUCCAUCAAUUUUAUGCCACAUGUUUCUUUGGCUCAAACAACACUGUUAGCUGGAUGACGUCUGAUGUUCAGUUCACAGCCUCUUAUGAUGAGUUUGUGGCCGCACUCGGUUUCCCCGACUCCGGCUUCAAAAUCCAUAAGAAUGAUCCUAACCAUGCACAUAGGCCCAUUGAGGCAUGUGGGUUUCUCCUCAAACCACUUCGUGAACUUGAUGCAGACGAACGGAUGAAGGAUCUUAACCAAGUAUCCAUCUGGCGCUCUCCCUACUUUAUCAUUUUUCAGUGUCUUAUCCGCACCAUCUAUCCCAAGAUGGGUGAUAGGGGAUCUUGCAACGUCUACUGUAUUGACAUCAUGUCACACUUACACGAGUCCCCCAAGCGCAAAAUUAAUGUGCCUCACUUUCUAUGGCAUGAGAUUCGGCUCGCUAGUUUUCAAUACAAGCGAGCCUUCCCUCAUGCCCCCUUCAUCCAGGCUUUUAUUCACCAUGUUGCUGAAUUCACUGUUGCUCCCACUCACACGCAUCACAAGCGGGUUAUUCCCGCUCACAUGGCGGAUGACUAUGCUCCCAAGAAAACCCCAUCCACCACCUCCACUCGCCGCACUGCUGCCCGGUCAGCAACCCCUUCAUCCAGCUCAGCUCCUCUCGGUCGCUUUGUCAAAUUCAUUGGCAAGGCACAUUCUGCUAUGAUGAAGGCCUUCUCUUUCCAGUGCGGUCAAACUCAUGAUGUGGUUUCUCGCCUCGUCUCCUCCAAGAAUGCCCUCAAGGCUCGUCUGAGAGACUCGGGCGCUCUUGAUGUGAGUGACGAUGAGGAUCUUCCUGCUGCUCCUCCUUCUGACUUUUGCUUCCCAUCUAGUCCUGAGUGGGCCGACUUUCUUGACGAGGCUAGUGGCAGUGGCUUGCCUAAGGAUGAGGAUGAUGCCUGAUGAUGAUGAUAUUGAUGAGGGUGAUAUUUGAGUAUGUGGUAGCAUUGCCGGGUUUCCCUCCUUUUUGGUCCUUGAUGCCAAAGGGGGAGAACAUUAUCUUAUCUUAGUUUCGAUUUUAGUUUCUCUCAUAAUGUAUGGUAUGAUGUAUUAUGUCGAACUUAAUGAUGUGUCAUCAUGUAACGAUACUUAUGGAUGAUGUGCUAUGCCAUCACUUAUGGAUGAUGUAUUGUUGAACUAUCAUGUGGUGAUGAGAUAUCAUGAUAUUAUCGUUGUGUCAUAUGAUGAUGAGUUUUAUGCUAUCCUAUUGAUUCAUAUGAUAUGCCUUGAUUCAUAUGAUAUGCUAUGAAUUGUUGAUUCUUAUGAUAUGCUAUGUAUUGUUGAACUAUUAUGGUGUUAUAUCAUGCUAUUAUCUUCAAUGCACACACUAAGGGGGAGCUCUUGCACUUACCUAUUUUACUAUGCAUAUAAUCAGGGGGAGCUUCAUAAGCAUCGUAACAAAUCUCUCCUAAGCCACACAUGUUUAUUACUAUUUUUGAGAGCUAUAUGUAUGUUGUCAUCAACUACCAAAAAGGGGGAGAUUGAAAGUGCAGUCAUGCCCUUAAUCGUGUUUUGGUGUUGCUGACAACACACAUAUAGAUAACUAAUCACUAAUCCCCUUUAAGCUAUUGUGAAUGAUCAUGUGUUGAUAAGGACAAGCUCAUGUGCUAACAAGGACAAGAUCAAGAUAAGCAUUCCUGAGCACUACAUGCUUGAUUCUUGUGGAUGUUCACAUAGUGGACAAAUGAAGAUGAAUACAUAAGCUAGGCUUUCCACAUUGUGUAUGGGAGAGCUACUUGAAGACUUCAUCAUGUCUUGCUUUUAACUUGAGCCAAGAAGGAACAACAACAUCAAGCUCAAGUGAAAGGGCUAACUCAAAGGUAUCAGUCCCUUUGACGUUAGUGGUGCGGAGUGAUGAUCAGCGAAUAAAAGUAUACACUCAAGUAUGGAUCAUCGGUACCCUUUUAUAAUUCUUGAGUCUUUAGGGAUCCCGCACUAUUAAGAGGGGAUCACAGGUUUUGCGAUGAACUUGCUCAAACUACAUCUCUACUGUUCUAUACCACAUCUCCACUGCUCUGCUGCUAUCUCAAAACAGAACCAGUGCCUCGGACAUCCGGCUUCCUCCGGACGUCCGAGGGUCGGACGUCCGACCUCCUUCGGAAAUCCGGAACUCUGCACCAGAGAAAGUUGAGUCAAAUAACUCGGACUUCCGGCCUCCCCCUGUCGUCCGAGGGCCGGACGUCCGACCUCCUUCGGAAAUCCGGAACCCUGCACCAGAGAAACUUGAGUCAAAUAACUCGGACUUCCGGCCUCCUCCUGUUGUCCGAGGGCCGGACGUCCGACCUCCUCCGGAAAUCCGGAACCUUUCACCAGAGAUAUUUGAGUCAAAUAACUCAGACUUCCGGCUCCCUCCGGACGUCCGGUUCCUGUUCGACUACACAGUGAUUCCAGAUAUAUAUACAUCGCUCGGACGACCGACCCCUGUCGGACGUCCCACACCUUGUGGGCGCCCGGACAUCCGAGAACUGUCGGAUGUCCGACCACUGUCAGACUUAAGUGACCCCAACGGCUGUUUUAGUCUCCCCACUAUAUAUACCCCCCUCCCACUUCGUGAGAGUGUGCCCAACACAUCCAUAUCGUCAUAAGAACACAUUUCUACCUCACACACAUUUGCUCACACCAAAUCUUAGAUCCCAAGAGCAUUUGUGAGCCCCUUUGAGAGUUGUUCCAAUCAAAAGAUAGAUCGUCUCCCUCUCCUCCUCUCAACCCAAGCUAUUUGAGAUUUGAGCAAGUUUUGAGCAUUCCCCGUGAUCUUGUUACUCUUGGAGGUUGGAGACUCCUAGGCGGUAGGAGUUCUUCGGAGAGGAAUCAAUCCGUGUGAUUUCCCCCGGAAAAGUUUGUGAGGGUUUGGAAGCCACCUCAAAGGCUUACCACUAGUGGUUGAGAAACGCCUUCGUGGUGUUAUCUCAAAGGGAGAAUAGGGUGAGCCUUCGUGGCGUUUGUGUGCCUUCAUGGUAACAUCCACCUCUCUAACGGUGACUAGCUUCCCUCCAAGGAAGUGAACAUCGGGAUACAUCUUUGUCUCAGUGACCUUGGUUAUCCUUAACCCUAACUUCUUACUUGUGGUUUAUUUGUGUUACUUGAGCAUACAUACAUUGCAUAUUGUUUGUGCUUAUUAUAUUCUGUUGGCUAUUUCUUGUACAAGAUUAAUCGUUCAAGCAUACCCUCUAUAUCUAUACGUUCACACUUGCAGCUUUUGAUAUAUCGUGUGCUAUAGUGAGAUCUAGUAUCUUGUGUCGUUCACCUACUUGUCGUGUGAUAUAGCUCAAGUAAGUUUGUGUAACUUGCUUGUGUUUGUUAGUAACUGUAUUGUGUCCAUCUUGAUAGAUAGUGUUGUUGAUACACGUUGCGGUGCCUAUUGCAUUUAGGAUUUGUGCUUGAAAAGUAUCCUCUUAGUUUAUUUCCGCAUUAGGUUUAAGUCAAAUCCGAAGAAGUUUUUAAAUAGCCUAUUCACCCCCCUCUAGGCGACAUCGUGGUCUUUUCACUUACGUCUUUUAUUGGUUGAUUUUUUUUUCAUGUUAAAAAACAAGAAACGAGGUAAAAGUUAAUGCAUAGCGUCUAAGUGUUUUAGGAUUAUGUUAUUUUCAUAAGAUAACUUAUACACCGAGACGGAGGGGCAGAUUUAAUAUUAUUAAACUACUAUAAAUUGUAUACUAAAAUAAUGACAUUUAUUUUGAAACCGAGUAUUACGUGUUUGCUAAAAGAAAAAUACUUCCUUCGUCUCAGUGUAUAAGUCAUCUUAUGAAAAUUAAAUAAUCUCAAAAUGCUUAGGCACGAUGCAUUAAUUUUCACCUUGUUUCUUGUUUCUUAACAUGAAUAAAGUAAUCAACCAAUAAAAGACGCGAGUCGUGUAUGUUUUUAAUGACUUGAGAUUAACAAGCACGACAUGCAGUGGUUAAUUCAUUACAUGCAGUGGGGGAGCCAGAAACUGAAUAUAGAAGGGGCCAAAACAUGUCAUAUAAUGUUAGAGGGUGCCAAAUCACCUAAAUCUAGCUAAUUUUGUUUGAUAAGUGAAGAAUUAGAAAUACAUACAAGUGUAUUUGUGAGAGCAUAGGGAGGGCCAAGGCCCGUGCCAGCACCCCUACCUUCACCACCACUCAUUACAUGCAAUGUUAUUAAUUAAGAAAUAAACAUUAUUUCUUUUUAUUUUUUAUCUUGGUUGUGGUGCACAACCUAAAAUAUACCUGGCCAAACGGGCCGGGCUAAACAGGCAGGUCCGCCAGCCCGCCACGACGGUACAACAAAGGCCCGACCCGACAUGAUUUAAACGGGUCGUCCCAGGCACGCGGCACGCCUCGGGCCAUGCCUGGACCUGAGGGCUGGGCACGCGGGCCGGCACGACACAACCCGUUUAUUUUUUUACUUAUAUAUAUAUAUGUAUGUAUGAUAUAAAAAAAUAACCUAAUAGGUCAAAAUCGACCCAAAACACAGCCUAAUAUAUUAAAAUCGGCCCAAAAAACAGCAUAACAGGCUAAAAUCAGUCUACAUAAUAACCUAAAAUAAAAAAAACUAGCAGCCUAACGGGCCUGGCGUGCCUACAGGCCGUCCCGUAUAACCUCCGUGCCGUGCCUGGACCGAAAUGCUGUGCCGGUGGGCCGGCACGGCAUGGCCCGGCUAAUAAUCGGGUCCAGACGUGUCGUGCCGGGCCGAUCCGUUUGGCCAGGUUUGACCUAAAAAUGACCCAUACAUCGAGACGGAGGGACUAAGAGGGUGCUUGGAUACGUUUUAGUCCCAUGACUAAAAGUAGUGAGACUAAAACUUGCUAGCCUCACCCAUGCUUGGAUCCAAGUACUAGAGAGACUAAAAUCAAGUUAAUGAGCAUUUAUUAUCCUCCAAACCCUCCAAUCCAGAACUUGCAUGAGGAGUUAAAUGAGGAGAGAGAGGACUAAUGCACAUUUUAGUAGGGGUACCCUUGACUAAAAGAUUUUAGCCUCAAGACUAGUUUUAGCCUCUCUUUAGUCAGGGGUGCUUGGAACUUUAGCCUCUUAAAAGACUAGUUUUAGUCAGACUAGUUUUAGUCUCUUGGAUCCAAGCACCCUCUAAUUUGAUGUUGCACUCGGCCAUACCGUGUGCGGAGGAGAGGACGGCAGCGGCUAUGGGGGCGGCAGCACAUGGUCGGUCGUGUCCACCAACGAGUCAUCUGUUCUCAGCGUCUAUAUCUACCGCGUUUGGAGAGUGGGAGACUCAGUAGAGACAGAGAGAGAGAGAGAGGAGGGGUCGAUCCCGCGGCGCCGGGCUCCUCCGGCGGUUAUCCCGUCCUACCGACCACCGGCGGCCUGCAAGCCGGUGAGUACGUGCAGCGUUCCGAAGAGGCGCGUGCUCGCAGGGGGAGGGGAGGGGGGAGGCGCCGGAUCUCGCUGGACAAGUGCGUCAACAACAUGUGGUAUAUUUCGUUUCUUCCUGACCUGGAUCCGACUACUUUAUUUUUCGAGUUUACCGACGAGUAGAUCUGCUGUGUGUUCAUCUAGUGUCACCAACUGUUGGUGGUCACCUUAAGCGUUACUUCUUUCUUCUUCUGUUCUAGAUCCGACUGAGCUAGAUUUGUUCGGCUAAGUUCACGGUGAUGUGGAUCUGAAAUGCAAACUGUCGGUCAUCCACCCUAGGCUUCCUUCCGUUCUACUCCCAAGUGAAUCACGCGUCUGCUUCAAGAUCCAGUUAAAUCAGGAGUGGAUCUAGUUUCUUCAAGUCAAAAAAUCACGAGUACCAAGUGUUAACUGUUGGUGGUCAGCCGUAGGUUUCCUUAAGCGUUAGUUCUAGAUCCGACUGAGCUAGAUUUGUUCGGCUAAGAUCACGGUGAUGUGGAUCUGACUGAAAAGCAAGCUGUCGGUCAUCCAUCGUGUGUUUCCUUCCGUUCUACUCCAAGUGAAUCAUGCGUCUUCUUCGAGAUCCAGUUAAAUCAUGACGAGUGGAUCUAGUUUCUCCAAGCAAAUCACGAGUGUCAGUCAUUUCUUCCCUGGCCGGCCGGUGUGUGCAUCUUAGUUCUUCAGUGCACAUUGCUGCCUGUACAUGAUAGAUUUACAGUGCUAAUUUGGUCAUACAAGCUACUUGAGCGCAUCCACCAAAAGCUUCCUAUUCUGUGUACGGUCCUAGGUGGAUCUGUAUUAGACACAUCUUGAGGUCAACCACCAAAAGCUUCCUACACAGUAUUUAGCCUAUGAAAACUGUAUGCUAUAGUCAUACUAGUGUGGGGUGAAAAUCACAGCUGCUUGGGACUUGAAAAGAUGAUGCUUCGAACGAAAUGGAAGGAUACUGUUAUUCACCUGUAUCAUCCACUGGUUUCUUUUGUGCUGGUUAGUGUGUGCAGAUCGUUGGUCAUCCACUUCUUUUUUGCGGGGACACAUUGGGUGUUUGAUAUAAGCUGUUUUGCUUUGCCUAGAUAGAUAACUAGCUCAUAUCUUGCUGAUUUGGUUGCCGCUAACCAUUGCAAAAACUUUCAUUUGAAUAGGUACCUUGUAUGGGAUGAAGUGAAGGCUAUUUUGUUAAUCAAUCAUCAUAUUAUGUGCACAAUAAGCUUUUGUUAUGCUUUCACCGUCGAUGCCCACUGGCUGGAUCAUACUUCUGUUUAUGAGCUCAUUGAAGUAACUCUCUCCUAGCUUAAAUCGGCCAAUUUCUCGUUUGCAUUAUAUAUAAAACCUUCAGCUAUCCAUCUCCAUAUCAGUUCGUCUCUCUUAAUUUUGUAAUCUUUUGGAAAUAUGCUUAAAUAUCCUCAAACAUAAGUACAAGCCACACAUGCUGCACCAAUACUAUGCAAAGUAGCAUAGAGUGAGUAAAAUAGGCUCUUGACUUUUAGAUUAUACAAGAGCGGUUAUCUACAAGUCAACCCUUUUUUUACUAACUACUAGUAGCCUUGAUAUAUCUAUAUGAUUAGUUAUUAUGUCCAAGUAUGUUUUUAGAAGAUUAAGCAAACUCAUUUGAUAUGUAAAUGGAUAGUUUGAGGUUUUAUUUAUAAUGAUAAACAAGGGAUUAGCAAGUUUGAGCUCGGUGAUAGAAUUACUCAAUGAGAUCGCAAAUAGAAGCAUGGUUCAGCCAAUUGACAUCAAUGUUGAUAAAGGCAUGGAAAAAUCUUAUCGUAUACAUGAUAUGGUGAUUGAUUCCAUAUGUUUUUGCCAAGUGAAGAAAAACCAUUUGCACGGCACUCAGUCAAAGGCAAGAUUUGAAGACUAAACAUUCCGAAGAGCAUGACAGGUUUGAAGAUUAAACGGUUUAAGUUCUCCUCCUUUUGGAUUUAAUUAGGAUAUAUGCUUCCAUUCCUGUCAAUUGAGACGGCCUGAUAACACUGCAUUUCCCUUGGUGUUUUGAUUUGUCCUUCUUCUGCAACAUACAUGCGAGUUGUCGUUCCCACUUACUCUGCGGUGCCUGCUCUACUUUGCUCAUGAAGAACUUCUUUUCUUCAUUUCUCUGUUUACUCAAAUGCUUGUGGACUGAAAUUUAAGUCGUUCAGUUUAUAGAACAUUUUGAAAUUUCACCUUUUAUUUGUAGAUGUUGCUAUUGCCUUGCAUCUUCCGCAGUUUUGUUCUCUUCUUUUGUGUGGAUUUGCAGCUAGCAAAAUGGAAAGUUCAUGGUGGGUCAGUUUGGAGGCUUCAUAUUUCAUAAUUGUUAUUGUGUGGUUCACACUAGAAUUUGAUUUUAAUGCGUACUUGUGCAUUUUUUGUUAGGAUUAUCAUGCUUGUUUUUCUAUGUAAUUGCUAUGAUUCAAGGCUACGUAUUUUGUUUAACCCAUUAUUUGCCAUUUGAAAACAAUGGUGGCAUCAACAGUUGGUAAUUGCAAAUGCUUAUCACUGGUUACCGCCUAAUGCUUGCUUGGUUUUCGGUGUGAUUUCAGCUUCGCACCACCCACGUUUUGUGAGACAAUAGUACAUCCAAAAGGAGAAGUUGUUGAGCUGAUAGUCAUGACAGCCUAUAAAAUAGGCGCGGUGAUUGAAGCUCGUGAGUAACACGAGUAACAAGACAACAAAAAACCAUGCUAAAGCUGGAGGGAUUCAUAGAAAAUGUGUAGGAAAAAAAUCCCUGAGAAUGUGAUUUUAACGCAUACUUGUCCGUGAGAAAUGUACCUUCACUACAUUUUUGGGGUUUCUAGAACAUGGACCAUAUGCGUCCAAGUAGAGAACAUAAAUAUCCACUGUUCUUUAUUCUUUCAUCUGUUAGUUUUGAUGUUGUUUUGGAUAAUAGAUAAUCAAGGCAUCGUAGGUGGCAGCAUUGAUUAGAGAUUCAGUCUAAUGUACUUGUUUAUAGCGGUGCUGCCAUGAAGUUUGGUCUAUAAAGUUCUGCUGUGUAAACAUACUGCUGAUCUGCUGAACUAAAAUUAUGGCCCUGUUUACCUGUGGUGGUGCACUGUACAACAAUUUCACCUGUUCUUUCAUAGCUCACCUUAUGUGUGGCAUCUUCUACUAGUAUCGUAUAAAUGUCUAUGUCAGAACACUAGCUGCUGGCACUCCCAUCUUUGACCGAUGGAUGUAAAGGUCUACCUUCUCCGGCACCUCCAACGAGUACGCCGACUUCAACGCCUACUACUGAGAAGACGACUAUGGGAAGGACAUGUGAUCACUAUGAUAUGUCCGGUCAUAUGAUGAACUGGCAUGUGUUAGAUUUAUGUACGUUGCAUGAGGUUGUAUGAAUUUGAAAGUAUUGACACGAGGUAGAUUGCCGCAGACGCAAAGAAAUGAAAAGACGAGUGGGCGCUAGCCGCGAUUGCAUACCCGGUUGAAUCGGAGCUGGAGAUGCUCUUUCUGUGCACCAGUUAUUAAUUAGGGCCAACCUUUUUCAGGUUAUAGGGAGAGCAAUUUUGUUACCCACCCGCCGCAAAGCCAUUGCUAAGUUUCCGGCCGUGACUUUGCAGGCGCGCACUUUGUAACUUCGUGGAGCAAACAAGCCAGCAUUUGAUGUGGCUUGGCCGGAAUGAGGUUCAGUUUUACGUACUACUCACUCCGUUCCUAAACAUAAGUCUUUUUAAAGAUUUCAUUAAGAGACUACAUAUAAAACAAAAUAAAUGAAUAUACAUUCUAAAACAUACAUAUAUAUCCAUAUAUAGUUUUUUAAUAAAAACUCUAAAAGACUUAUAUUUAUAUAGUUUUUUAAUAAAAACUCUAAAAGACUUAUAUUUAAAAAUGAAGGAAGGAGGAAGUAGUAGUUAAGAUAGGCGUCGCCAUCUUAAUUACAGGUCGCAUCCGUUUUCUCCCCUAAUCACCACCACGUGCCAUGUACACGUCGCUUUCGCUUCCGGACGGAGGCACAACUUAGCAGCUGUUCGUGGCUCGGCCACAAGCCCGUCGUGUCGUGUCGUGUCGUGGAAUGAUCAAACGUAGGCAGGUAGGAAAAUAAUGGGGUUGUACAUGCGCAAGCGAAGCACCGAAUCCUCCAACGGCAGCGCGCCAUCUAAUACCCCCGGCGAGCACAGUGAAGAGGAACGUACCUUAUCACCGGCGCGCGCGCAUCAGUUGGUGACCGGCCGGCGUGAAACUGUGAAAGGCUAGCCGUGCAGGCCAUGUGUCCAUUUCCCGAUAGAAAGAAGGAAAAAGAAGGAACGUGGCAGCCAUGUUUAUGGCCCAUGGCUGGACGCGACGGGCGGUGCCAGUGCGCGCGCAACAGGCUGCCUUCGCGCCGAAGCAACGCAACAAAAGGCGAAACGGUCGGCCGGCUGGCCUCGCUGUGUAGAUGCUUCGAGAGAAAUCGCGGGGACGUGUCAACCGCCCAUAGGCCGGCCAGCUGUCACCCCCGCAGAAUAAAUAGGCCUCCCCACCCCUACGCCUUUCCCCAGUGCCUUCCCCAGCAACACCAAAGAUCCGAUCCUCUCCUCUCUUAUUCUACCACUCUCCGCCGCCACAGCCACCACCAAUCGAAGAAGCAAUGGCCGCCUCCGCCAUCGCGUCGAAGGCCGUGGCCGUCCUCGCCGUCCUGUCGGUCGCCGCCUUCUCCCUCGUCGCCGCGCAGGAGGCCCCGGCGCCGAGCCCCAUGUCCGCCGCUGGCGUCGCGGCCCCCUCCCUCGCCGCCGCGCUCGUGGCCUCCGGCGCCGCCUUCCUCUUCGCCGCCUCGCGCCACUGAAGCAGCAGCAGCUGCCUCCGUCCGUCGAUGGCAGUAUAGCAGUAUUGUUUUCACUAGCGAUUUGUUGGUUGUUCGUGUCCUUUUCCCCCAGAUCUGCCUGCUACCGUCUAUUACUCGACUCGAUGAUGAUUGAUUAUCUCUCUCCCUCUAGUAGUAGAGAUUGUACCCGUUUGCCUGUACAUACUUCUCGCCAGUGCUAUUUAUCCACCGGUUCGAUCUGCUGAUAAGUAUGAUAGCUCCAUUUAUUCAGUCGUUGUUCGUGAAUUUUGAUGCUCGUGAGUCAGCGUGAUGGAUCUGUUUCUCUUUCUCGUUUCUCCAUUAUCUGGUGGCAGAAUUGCUUUAUGCAGCCAGCUUCAUAUGCAGAUAUGCUUGUUACUGAUCCUUCACGCUAUCAAUCACAGCAGGGAACACUCUUCGAAUGAAUAUCACGAACUUUGGAGAAUUUUUUUUUUGAGUAAAAACAGCCGCAGCGACUGCUGCACUACACGUGAGUGGUGGA